rnacentral:lncRNA from 1 species
GAACAUGUUUGGUGCAGUUUAUAAAAUCAUUUGUAAUUUUGUGUAAAUUUUGAAAUUGAUAAACAGUAGUUUUCUUGUUCUUGUAAGUUUUAGAUCCUCACUUAAAGUUACUCCGUGCAUUAUUAUUUAGUAUAUGUGAGGGUUUAAUGGGAUUGAUGAUUUAGACUUAUCUUAUUAUUGUGAGAAUUCAAUGGAUGAGGGAAAUGGGAAUUCAAUAGGUAAAAUUAUGACGGGGUGUGGGGAAAUGUGAAGUCAAGAGGAAGAAUUAUGAAGGGAGUGAAAUAUCUAGUUCAUAUUUGUUAUUGAGGUUUAUAGAUGCUGGUUUUUGUGUCAUUCUUGGCAUGUUUCUACCUAUAAGUAUAUUUAUUUUUCCUGCCUAUGUACAACAAAUGGAUGAUCGUUUUCCUUUGAAAAUGCUUAUCUACUACCCCUUUUUCUUACUUAGUUGAAGGGAAAGUCUCUCAAGAUAGUUUCAAUUUUUUAAUUUUCAUCCAAAAGUAAUUCAUCAACUUAUGUUUGUUCAUGGAACGGCAGGGACAACAGAAGUCUACUACUAGUAGAUCAUUAGCUUCUGCAGUUCAUUGACACAUAAAGACCUGUAGCUGUAGUGAUGUUUUAGAAAUUUCAUAACUUAUGCCACAGAACAACGUUUACCAAUUAGAAACCCAGAACCCAUUUGUCUCAUUGUUUAGAUGUUUUGUUUGGAGGCUAAUUCGUAGAACCCAUCGUUAACUGUAGAACCAAAAAUUGUCCAACAAAAUGUGGGGAUUUUUUGGGAUUUGGACAACAAACCCCAAAUUCAGUCCCUCCAUUUGAAGCGGCCAUUAAUAUGAAAAAAUCAAUAUCUUCAUUUGGGUUGUUAAAUAUAUGGUGGCAUAUGCUAAUGGCCACGCAUUUAGUUAUGUUCCUCAAGCUGUAAGAGAGCACAGAGAAGAGAAAAAAUUGUUUAACUAAUUGUAAUUAAGCCUGCUGAGGCGUAUGUAUGUGGUGUUUGUGGAUAAUCAUGAUAAACUUGUUAAUCAUUUUAUGCAAAUUCAUGAGUGUGAAGAAAAGAAGAGGUUGAAUCAAAUAGAAUCAGCCAGAGGGAAGAGGAGAGUGCAUUUGGUUGGCAAAUAUUCAAUGAAGAUGAAAAAAUAUGAAAGGGCUGCAAGGGCAAUUUUGACUCCAAAAGUGGGUUAUGGUUUGGCUGAUGAAUUGGAAAGAGUGGGGUUUUGGGUCAGGACAGUGUCAAAUAAGCCGCAAGCUGCUCAUGUUUUGUUGAGGAAUCAUAUGGUGGAUAUGAUGGACAAAAGAAGGAUUGAGUGUUUCAUUGUUGUGCCGUAUGAUCUAGAUUUUGUGGAGGUUUUGCUGGAGGCAGAGUUGAGGUGUCCGAAGACAGUAGUUGUGGGGGAUAUAAAUGAUGGGGCAUUGAAUAGAAUUUCUGAUGCUUGUUUUUCUUGAUGGAUAUUUUAAUGGGGAAGGCAAGGAAGGAAGCCGUAUCAGUUGUUGGCAAAUGGAAGGACCGAGAGGUUUUGAAGAGGUUGGAGUGGACUGACUAUCCAGAGGUUGGGAAGAAGAACUUGAUUGUGAUAAUGAGAGUGAGAAUGCAAAUGUUGAUGAUAUAACUCAUGCUGACGAUGCAGAUUGUAUCCAGAAGGAAGAUAAGGGUGCCUGGUGGAAGCUGGAAUCUUCUGAUGCAGAGGCCACUUCAUAACAAUUGUGCUAAAGACAGUUGGGGGUUAUAUGGUUGACAUAGUGUGUGACUGGGUAAAGUGCCCUUACAUUUUCUUGCUAGCAUUUCUGGGAAGUUGUAAUACCUGAAAGCAUGAAAUAAUUGUUCCUUGUAGCAAACAGAGUUAUAUUUAUAUGGCUUCCAUCUUUCCUUCUUCCCCUCAAAUGUUGCUGUUGAAAAUUAAAAAGAUUGUAUUUGGCUUUAUGGUAUCUUACAUAAAACUUGUCGAAGUUUUUCCAAAAAUAAAUCUUGCAAAAUUUUGAUUAAAAUACUGGGAAAUUCAACAGAAAGCAUAGUGCCUGAUAGGCUAGUGGAAGGCAGCCUUUGCAGCUCUGACAUAUUGGUAUCUUGAAUUAUGUAAUCCAUCUUUCAGUUGAAGAUUUCUCACAGCAAGAGGCGCACUUGAAGAAGUAAAUGGCAGUGGAAGUGGUCAGUGUGGUCGUGCUGCAUUUUUAUUUGAUUGACUUAAUUUAGAAGGAAACACCAAAAAAAGGUAAAGAUUCACAGGCAUGGUUGCUCUUCUUACUCUGUUUUAUUUUACUAAUGCACUGUGCUAGAGGGUAUAUUUUGUUCCAUGCUAUUGGAUUUGUGUUACAAGAAUAAUCCUAACUUGUUACAGAACAUUUGGACAGUCACAACUUAGCUUCAGUGAAAUCUCAAACUCUUUUUGGGGGAAAUAUUUUGAUGCGGUGAGCUGUUGAUAAUACUAUGAAUGUGCUUAUAGAACAGUUAUUUUGACAAUGAUUUUAUGGGGUUUUGGAAAUUGAAAGAUUGGCUAGCUGUAUCUUGUUCUCGACUCUGGCUUCAUGUCCAAGGUAUACAUACAUACAUGUUUUGAAUACCAUAAACUUCCAUUAUUAUUAUUGUUCUAUAUUUGAAGAAAUCUUUGAUAUGUGCUAGACAAAGUACUAAUUGCGACAUAAUUUUCUUGAAUGUAGGUUGGAGCCUUAUUUUAAUAUCUCAACAAGAGAAAUUAAUUAAAUUUUUAUGUUAAAUUUGUUGCCAGUAACUUCACGCUUCUGAAGUAACAUCUUAAUUUUUUUUUCGAAUUAAAUUUAGUUUCCCUCAAGUGAACGAUUCCAAAGUGUGUUUUGGAUUUGCAUGCAAUUUGAUUUGAGGUGGUGCACGUCCAAUAUAGAGAUAAAAUUACUCGAUUACUAAUGAGCGACACAGAGCUGUAAAAUAUUUCGUGUCCUUUAAUUGGCCCGUUUUAACUGCAGGGAUGUCGCUCGGUAUUAUUUUUGAAUUGUUGUUUCUGCAUUUAUUUUAUAGUUUAGAUAUAAUUAGUUGCAGCUUUGUUUAAAAUAAUAUUUAAAAAUAUAAUUAGUAAAAAUGUGUUUAGUAGUUUAUUUGAAACAAUUAUAAAGUAACUUAUAUGCGGGAUCCGUUUCUUUUGUUUUAUUUAAUUUAUAGUGAAAUUCUAAAUGGAACAGAAAGGCGUGUGGACUGAUUAUAAUAAUAAUAAUGGAAAUAAAAUAACAACAAAACGCAGAGCAGAUGCACUUGACAUGGCAAGAAUUGUGGGGAACAACAAAAUACUGUCCUCUUGUUUUAUUAAAAGUAUAAAGUGGAUACAAUUUUUCACCAAAUACAGCAACAUAUCAAAGAAAUGGUCUGCCAAACAUGUUUUUCAUUUUAUUAAUUUCAUAAAAAUAACAAAAACAAUACUAAACAGCCCCUUAGCAAAUCCCUUUAUUUUCAAAAUAAAAAAUGACGAAGUUUUAUUUCUUGCCUAUUGCUGUUUUUCUCGUAGAUUUCAUUCAUGGGUGAAAACUUGGGGGAGUGUAAUAGAAGUAACAUAUGUAAUAGUGAUAGGAUUGCUAAGAAUGGGGUAAAUUGGAAUGCCUGAGAAUCUCAUAUCCGUAGUAAAAAAGUGGACUACAUUAGGAAUUAGAGGAUUGGUAAAAAGCCCUAAGCUAAGCCAAGCUAAGCUAGGCCUUUUUUUAGCCCGAGAAAAUUUUUUUAUAAGAUUUUGUUAUUAGAUUUUGGCUGAGCUAUUUGUACCCUAAAAUAUAUUUUAAAUACUCACUUUCUUAUAACACCCAAUUAUGGAUUAUCAUAUUAAAAAAAUGUAGGUUUUACUCACUCAAACCAUUAAAAUGACAAAAUUAUCUUAAUGUUUUUUCUUCUCUAAUCCUCUUUCUUUCACCCUUUUUUUUCUCAAGAAUCUCCAAAACAUCACUUAACAUCAAAAUCUCUCACAACUUAAAAGCUCAACCACAUCGAUGAAAAAAUAUCUUCUACUAAUGUGAUGCUCUUAUAGUAACUUGUUAGAAUUUUUUUUGCUUUAACUAAAAUACUUGCGCAAAAGAAAAAUUCACCUUUUUCAAUCUAUAGUUGUUUUAUUUAUGUAUAGUUCUUAUUAGAUCUAUAUUUCAUAAGCACUGAAAAUUUUAGUGGAAAUAAAUGAUUAAUUGAACGGCGUUUGGUUGUUUCUAGGAUUUUAGGAUCCUGCUAAGUUACAGCCAAAAGCCAAGACUUUAAAUUUCUUUUAACUUCCUUUACGGGUAGAAGAAACAACAAGGAAGCAGACUUUCUCAUACUGCUUUUCAUUAGGCUUCUCCAUAUAGCGUGUUUGUGACAUAUUCUUGGUUCAUCACGUUGAGGAUUAAUCGUGAUCUAGAUAGAUUUCUUUUUGACAGCCAUGUUACGAAAUCAAGAAGACGAUAGAUGUAGAAGAGCAUGUAUGGAAGAACGAUAAUUGAUUUUAAUAUUCUAGUUGUCUUCAGUAGCAAAUUACUCCAUGAAUAUUUUAGUAGUAAAAAAUUUAAUAGAAAAAUAGGUGUUCAGGAUAUUUUUCAAGGUGUAAAAAGUCUCAUCUUAAAUUUAUUUACUUCACAUUCAAAAACUAGAAAAAUUACUAUUUACAAUUGACUACUUACUUGCUACGUGAUAAUCCAAAAAAUAUAUCUACUCCAUAUAUCAUUCGUUCCGGAUAAUGUUUUGAUUCCAUUGCCUGUCCUUUGCUUUUAUUUUUUCGGCGAUAAUAAGCCAGCAAAAAAUUGACGUAUAGCCCGACAAGAUGAAAUUGAGAACUCAUUGUCAUUUUCUUUUUUUCUUUUUUCCAAAGUGUUUCACUUUAUUGCAAUCCAAAAUGGUAGGUAGUCUAGUCAAGGCCCCCAAAAUGUCCUUUGCUUUUAUUUUUUCGAAUUGUUAUUAUACAUACAUACAUAUACAUAUAUAUGAAAUCUGAUGAGAUUUUUUAUAUAAAUAUUUAUAAUAUAGUCUAGAGAUUUAUUGAACAUUAAUUUUGAAAUUAUAUCUCAAAUAUAAAGAGAGAGAAUGAGUUUCAAUAUCAUUUGAAAUACCUAUAAUUACCCAUUUGACUGGCCACCUGAGUUCAAAUCUUAGAGAUUAGGACGUAAGGGUAAAAAAUUAAAUUUGGACAAACCCUUCACUUUAAAAAAAUUUAAAAAAUAAAUAAAUAAGCCACAUUUUUAUAAAUAAAAAAUUAAUAAAACUUUUUUUAAUACAAAACGAGUAUAUUAAACGACAUUUAUGGCUUAAUUAAAGUGAAACGCACUUUUGACAUAAAAUUCCAUGACUCUAGGCAUAGUCUUGGCCAAAUUAUUAAAUGUAAAUAAAUUUACGUAAAGUAUGUCCUAGCUAAUUUAUGCGGUUGUUUUAUAUUUUAAAAGAACAAACGUUACCAGUUUUUAUUUAUUACAGAUCCAAAAUUUAUUUAAGGGGCCACAAUGUAAAAAAUUAACUGAUUAUGACAGUUUAGGAAUUGACUAAAAUUAAAUGUUAAAUUAAAAAAUCGAGAUAAAUAAUAAUAUUUUAAAAAUAAACGUUUAAUUUCUGUACCACACAGAGCCUAUAAUUGUCAAAUUAAAAUGGAAAAGUUUGCAACCAAACGACAUAUUCAUGAGAGAGCGAAAAUUCCGUUUAAGUUAUGCCUGUCGGGACGCACCAAGAUCAAAUUUCAUAUGAAGUAUGUUAAGACCUUGAAUCUUUUUAGGUUUGGCAUCUUAUGGCAAUAAUGUUUAUAUAAGGAGUCUUCUUUAAUUAUAUUUCCCAUAUAAAUUAGAAUUAUGACUAAUUUGCUAUGGUUUGAAUUAAAAUCCUAUGUGGAGAAUUAUGACUUAUUGAAUUAAAAUUAAUUUCCCUCAAGUGAACGAUUCAUAAGUGUAUUUUCGUAUUUGCAAGCAAUUUGAGACGGUGUAUGCUGAGUAUAGAGAGGAGAUUAAUUAUUCAAUUAUGCUAAUGAGAGCUGUAAAACAUGUCGUGUCAUUGAAUGAUCCAUGAUCGUCGUGAAAACUUUAGGCCCAUUCAUGCAUAGGUUGUAGCAUCUUUUUCAAGGAUUUUUCAUUUGUUCCCGUGCUAUUCAUAAAAUUUCAGGGUGUGUUUGGUAUUAUUUUUUAAAUAUUUUAUAUUAAUUUUAUUUAUAUUUGUCUAUGUUACAACAGUUGUAAAAUAGUAUUAUUUAAUUUUACAAUAUAAAUAUGAUUAAUUUUAGUGAAUAUGAAACUUAUUUUGAUAAUUUAUUUUAAAAUAGUAUUAUUUAAAAAAUAUAAAAUAAAUUUUGUGUAGGACUCAUUUCUUUUGUCUUAUUUAAUUUAUUAUGAAAAUUUAAAUACAAAUGAAAGUUACGUGGGUUCACGAUAAUUAUGAUACAAAUAAAACAAUAAGAAAAAAGUGCCCAGGUGCACUUACAAGGCAAAUGUUGUCAAAAGACAACAAAAUGUUGUUCUCUACUUUUCUUCAUUAAAAGUAUAAAAUAAUAUAAUUUAUUUUUCACCAAAUACAUUUUGGAAAAGAGUUAUUUUUAAAUACCUCCCCUGAAGUUUGAUAUAAUUUCAGUUAGAUGGCGAGAUUGAAUAUAUUCUCACUUACCUCCCCUAUCGUUAGUAUAUAUAUGAGUUGACCGUUAGUUGAUUUGAAAAAUAACUAAAAUAUCCAAAUCAAUUGUUCAACCCAAAUUUUUGGCACCAACAAAGUAAGGGUACUUUUUACCAAAAAGGCCCAAUUAUUUCGUUUGUGGACGAAAAUAGCCUGCCAAACAUAUACCUUCUCUUCUCUCCAAAUUCAGCCUAGGUCUUAAGUUUUCCGAUGACAAGCGACGGCGGUUGGACAGGCGUUUGACAGCAAGUUUAUCUCCAACAACACAUGGCUCUACUUCUGCCAUUUUAGCUACAAUAUUUCACGUUAGUUUCUGGUAAUUUUGGCAUGCCUUACAUUGUAAAUUCUUAUUGUUUUUCGUUGCCUAAGAUUGAUUGAUGACAGCUGAGUGUAUAGAUGAUUAUAGAUGAGCAUUAGGAUUGAUUGUCGCGUAAAUAUUAAAAAUAGUUUAAUGAAAUUGGUAGUUAAUAACUGGGCACAGGAGGUGCUCGAUAAAAUGCUUGUUAGGGUUUGUUUGUCUCAUUUUAGGUAGAUUAAGUUGUUGAUGGUGCAUUCAUGCGAUGUCUUGUUUCAAUGACACACUUGCUGUGAUUUUAAGCAACAGGUACCUGCCUCCCUGGCGACAGGUGCUUGUCUUCCUAAAUAACGAAAAGUUGUUUCUGUAAUUUUGAGCGAUGAAUGCUUGUCUCUCAGAAGACAGAAAUUUUCGCGUGAAAUCAUAUACCAGUCUCCAAAUAUAUUGGCAGGGAUUCCAUCACUACCAAACCAGCAAUAUUUGAGUUGUUUAAAGAAAUAAGUAAAUUCCAAACCAUCAAGUUGUAUUAAAUUGACAUGUGCAUUUUCGUAGCUUAAAAUUGGUGACAGUCACAAUUGAUCGAAUUUCAUCAGCCUAUACAUCCAGCAGUCAAACAUAUACACAAAAAGAACAACUACACUAACAGUGCUCCAACAAAUUCAUUAAACUCUCCUUCGCUAUCAGCGUGAGGCAAAUCAUUUUCAAUAUCAUUUUUCUGUAGGUUUAUCCGCAUAGCCAUCUCCAUCGUCAUUUGUUGGCAUCCUCUCAAGAGAAUCUUCUGUUGUUGUCACUUGCUCAAUGUGAACCUCAUCAUUUAAAUCAGGGAGAGUAAAUUCAUUAUCGUCUGCUAAGUCAAACCAGUUAAUUUCUACUGCAGGUUCCAGUGGAACGACAGACGGUUUUGUUGAACCUUCGUCCCUAUAAUAUGUGAAUAUGCAGAUGUUAAUAAGUGAAAGCAAAGUAAUAAUUAAUAUGGCAAUUAUCUACUGACCACCCAUUUUUUUGCACUUUUUUAAAAAUAAACAAUUCUUAAUUUUUUUUUCCUAAACUCUACUUGAAGUUAUAUUAUUUUGCACAUGUUUACUUCCGUCUUCAAACUGUUAAGAGAACUAACGGAGUAUUGUAUAAAUGAUCUUUUUACCCCCAAAUGUGAAAGAAAAAUUAUCCACUGACCACUUUUUUCUCUCAUUUUUUCAAAAAUGGACAAUUUUUAAUUUUUUUUUGCUGAACUCUACUUGAAGUUGUAUUGUUUUGCACAUGUCUACUUCUAUCUUCAAACAAUGUUGAUGUAAAAUGACAAUUUUACCCUUAUGAUGUCAGCAAAUUUCUAACAAUGUUAUAACGGGAGUGGACCAGUGAAAAAAAUGUUAACUUCAGGUGGAGUGCUAUCAAAUCAAAAAAGAUUUGUGUAUUUUUGAAAAAGCUACCAAAAAUAGGUGGUCGGUGGAUUAUUACCCUAAUUAAUAAUUAAUAAUAAUAAUAAUAUUACUAAACAACAACAAUUACAAUAAUAAAGAAAAAUAAUGAUAAUAGUAAUACAUUUUAAUACAGAUAUUAAUAAUAAUUGUAAUAAUAAUAAUGUGUGUGUGUUUACUAUUUCUAUUUUGAAUUAAUAUUAAGCACAAACUAUGUUUUUUGGGCGACAGGCAUGUCACACGAGGGACAGACUCUAUCGCCUAAAAAAGCAUAAACUACAUUUGUGCAACAGAUUCCUAUCGCCCAAAAACACAUAAUGUAUGUACGUGCGAUAGGAGCAUGUCACCGCCCAAAACACAGAAACAGUGUUUUUGGGCGACAUGGGUUGUCGCACGGGCUAUAAGCUUUUGUCUCCCAAAAGCACAGACACUGUGUUCGGGCAACAUAAGCUUGUUGCAUAGGCGACAUCCCUUGUUGCCCAAAAACACAGAUUCUGUGUUCGUGCGACGUGAGCCUGUCGCCCGUCGCUUAAAAACAAAGAAAUUGUGUUUGUGUGACAGGCGCACAAAAACACUGUAAAUUCAUAAAUAGAUCAACUUUAACAAAUUUUGGCCGGAAAAAUAAAAAUUGCAGUUAAGACUACUUUUAUUUUACAUACCUAUUUGCAUAAAAAUCACAAAUUAUUAGCUUUAUAUGCCUUAUUACAUUAUGUAUGGUGUAAAGUACAAACAAAAACAACCAAUAACAAUUUUUUUUUUUCAACUCAUUCCCACAUAUGGCUAAAUCCAUUCUCAUUUUAAUCAAUGUUUCCACCACCAACCCAUGAACAAGACAAAUCAAACACAACCAACAACCACUUAUGAAAUCUCCAAAAAAAGAAAAUCAAAGGUAUUUAAAAAUUGUAGACUUUAAUAAAGUAACUAACCUCUUACAAACUCCAAUACCAGUGGCAUAUCCCAGCCGUCGUCAAUCGUCACCGGUCGGUGGCCUUCUCCGACAACCCAUACUUGUCUUUUUCAAGGGUUAUAUAUACUCUUUGUGUUUAUUUACCUUUGUUACAACAACUGAGAGCAAGGGAGUAGAGUGAAAAAUGCUUUGAUUAUUGAUGUGAGAGCAAGACAUCUCCAUUGCUUUUUUGUGCUGGAGAAAGAGAAAAUUUAUUCUUUUACACAAUGGAUAUUUAGUGUAAUCGGAUAAUACAAUUAUCCAAUGAAUUUCAAAUCAUUUUUUAUUAUUACUUGAUUUUUUUAGAUUUUUAACAUGUUUUUAUAUUUUUGCCCUCAAAUACUAAUGUUAUACGUGUAUGCAUACUAACGGCAGAGGAGUUAAGUGAGAAUACUUUCAAUCUCGCCAUCCAAUUGAAAUUAUAUCAAACCUUAGGAUAGGUAUUUAAAAAUAACUCUCUUAGAAAAAUGUCCCAAAACAAAAAAUGACUUACCAAAAACAAUAUCAAACUAAGCAAUUCCCUUCAUUUUCAAAAUAAAGAAUAAUAAGUUUUCUUACUUGCCAGUAGCCGUGUAGAUUCCAUUCAGGGGUGAAAAUAGAGAUGGCUGAGGGCCGAGUUGCAUGUGGCAUGGUUCUGAGCAAGUGUUCGUACAGUAUGGCACGGCUGGACACAGAUAGAGACUAGGCUAGGUUAUGGAUCUUAAAAGCACGAUACGAUUAGAGAUGCGGUAAAACAAGACACAUGAAAAGACCUAUAAUAAACACGUUUCAUAAGUAGGUUAGCAUACGGCCAUAACUCAAUCCUCUAUUUUGUUAACAUCAAAAGAAAAAACAAAUCUUGCGCACUGGUAUAAUACUCUUAUAUUAACUUGUUAGAAUUCUUUUAUACCAACUAAAAUAUUUACACACACGAAAAAAUUUACCUUCUUCAAUUUAUACGCAUCUACAAUCCUCUAUUUUGAAUUGUAGGUUUAAUUUUCACUUAUUUACUUAAAAAAAGCACCGUUUUGAAGGUAAAGCCUAAGUUACGUUUUAUGUAACUUACAACCUAGCGAAUCUGAGGACGUUGAAUGUGUUUUGAUUUGAAUUCAAUGGAUGAUAUUAAAAUUAUUGAAAAGCAGUAGCAAGUGAUAAACUGGCUAAACCGGUUAUUUCAAGUGAUGGGCUACUUGAUUGAACGAUUUAUUCUUAGAAAAAGAAUAAAUUUUCUUUUUAUCCCUCGUCUUCUUCCUCUUCCAUCCAACCAAUCACUAUAAGAAAACAAGCAAUAGAUGAUGGAAAAUAACUAUCAUAAAAAGGGGUGUAUGACAGACAGUUCAUCCGUCAUCUAUGUCACUGUCAUUAAUUUAUGACAGAAUAUUUUUCAUCAUGAAUUCAUGAUAGCAUUUCAUAGUCAUAUAUCUGUCACACAAUAUUUUAAUAUAAAACAAAAAUUAAAUUUUUUUAAAUUUUCACGCCAUUUUUUUUAAUUUUUAGUAGGAAAUUCAAUUAUUAUUUGAAAAUUUAUUAUUCAAUUUUGGCAGGAAAUUAUUUAUGAUAGAAUAUAUGAUGCCUUUUUCCAUCAUAAGGUUUUGAUUUUUUUCUAAAAUUAUAUUAUAAUUAUAAUUUAUUGAUGAAUUCCUAUUUACAAAUUUAAUUAAUUAACAAAAAAAUUAAAAAUUUAAUAUCAAUUAACAUUCAUUCAAUCCAAAAAUUAAUUUAAAAAUAAAUACAUCUAAUAUCCAAUGUGAUCUCCACAAAUACAUAAUAAAACAUCCCAAAUUGAAAAAGUCAUCCCAAAGCAUAAAAUUACAGUCAAAUUCCAACCAAACUCUAAGAAAAGCAAUAAUAAUUCUGACCACCAAGCCACGUUACCCAACAAAACUUCUAAAGAUUAAUGCAAGUACUCCAACAAUAAGAUUUCUAGCAAGACUUCCUGUAAAAAUUCCAGCAACAAUACCAUCUUCCGAUAGCACUCUAAACAAAAAUUGAAACUUACAAAGCGACUUGCAAGCUUCCAGUGAACAAAUUUGAUUCAAACACCAAGCAGAAUAAGGAAAAUUAAGAGGCUGCAAUACAUGUGGGCAUCAAAUAUAGUAAUCUAUUUGAUUUAAACUGACUUCACUUUUAUGGAAUUAGCAAAAUGUACGUACUCAAUGGAUUAAAAUUACUUUUGGGGAAUGGGAAUUCAUCAAAAUCAGCAAGCUAGCUAAAAAUGCAAAGGAAGCCACAACAAUAGACCAGUGUGAGGAGACAAAAAUAGAUCAUAAAGUCAUAAAAUGCAAUGGCAUCCAGAUCCAGCUGAACUGAUCAACCAAUGAAACGGAAACAAACAACCAACUUUGACAAGCUUAUCUCAACCAACAACACCAAUUCUAGGCCUGUAACUUGCCUACAUAUUUAGAGCUGAAUUGUAAUUUUACCUCAUCAAAAAUUCAGCACAAAAUCAAGAAAAAGGAAAAAAAAACAAAAAAUCUCAUACUGUUGAGUAGGUAACUAACAAGCUCAUGUUGGCCAAAUUUUAAUUGAUGGAAGCAGUUUUGGUUAGUCACUGUUUUACAGUCAUGUACUAAACAAACUAUUAAACAUAACAAUUAGGCUCUUAAUACGUCAACUCAAUUGUAUUCAUCAUAUUUGAAAAUUUAGAAUUAAGAAAAGCUUACGCACUUUGACGCCAGUGAAAAAUGAUCGCAGGAUAUAGGAUUUUAUAGCAAGCUUAAAAAUGAUAAUUAAUUUGGAUAAUCACAUAAUUAAAAAAAUAAAAAAGGUAAAAACUUACCGAUUACCACAAGCGCCGAUGACAAGAACGGUACUCCUAGCCAUCGAUAAAACUUUCACUGCUUCUUAACCAAAGUUAUUUCUAUAAACAAACUCAAUCAAGUAACCUGAAACAAAGCAAAACCAAAACCAUAAUUCCACAACAAUAUGAAAUUCCCACAUCAACAUAUAGCACUUGAUUUAAUUGUUAUAACUAAGUCUACGAUAUCUCUAAGUUUUCAUCAUAACCACCUAAACAAACUAGUACUGACAAGGCCCACCAAGUCAUCUUCCUGCUCCUGCCUGCCAGAGUACCUGAAAAAAAAAAUCAAUAGAGAAUGUCAUAAUGCAGCAAUAAUGAAAGCAUAAAAAACACAAUAAGAGUACAAUAAAUAAAUUUCCUCAUUAGGGUUGAAAAGGAAAUAAAUAAUAUUUAGCCAAUUAAUAUUUCUAGCUUCCAAAUUUAGUAGCACUCUCAGAUACAUGGAUGAGAAGAGCUAAAAAACAAUGACCUAAAAUUACUAAAAUUUCCAAAUGCGUUUGCGUAGAAUUGACUACAACCAAUCAAUUUAAGGUUUUCUAAGAACCAACCAACCUUUUCUUAGUUUUCAACAGUACCACUUGGUCAGCAAUAUCACUGGAACACUCACAAAAUUUUAUAGCACUAAACAUAACAAAUUUGAUGAGUAUUUGACCUAAUAACCCUAGCGGACAUUCUAGAUUUAUCUUCUACUACAACAUGAAAUGCAGAUUUGUAAUUAAUAGAGGGAAAAUACAAUUGUGAAGAAUUAUGGAAGGCUUUUGUUAUUCAACAAUUCAUACGUUCCAAUACAAAAAGCAAUUAAAGAAGAUUUAUGUUGUCUUCCUUUCUAUAUCCAGCAAAUUCAGACAUUAAAAAGAGAAGUUACAGUUAGUAAUAAUUAAAUCCCAAAAGCUAACAGAAGAACAGUUCACUCAAAGUUAUACCACAAGACUACUAGCUUUCUCGUACUCCAAAAAAUAGAGAAAUAGCACAACAUAAAACCCUUAAAUUAACAUGCAUCAUAGGUUAAUAUACAUAUAACAGCAUCAUCAAACGAAACAAACUAAAAUUUGAUAGUAAUAAGCAUCAACUGAAUUUCUCAUUAUUCAUCAAACUGGAAGAGUCAAUUCAUAGAAAAGCAUGCCUACACAACAACAUAUCUACAACUCCUUAUGUAUCUCGUUCUCGCAAGUGAUGUUAGUGAAGAAGGAGAAUAUCGAGCGUGGAAAGCGUGAGAGGAAAAUUCUAGAAGGUCGUUGAGGAACGGUAUUGAUUUCGGCGAUAAACUAAUAGUGGUGGUAAAGUAACGACGGCUGGCUGGGCUGAAGCUUGACAUGAUGGUAGAGGAGCGAUAACGAUGACCAAGAUGAGUGGCGGCAACAAGUCAGCGACGUACAUAAUGGUGGCCAGUUUCGUAGUCAGUGGCUGAAGCUUAAUGACGGCAGAGCAGUGGCAGCAGUGAAAUCGAAGAGCAGCAGGGGAACAGAGGCAGCAACUUAACUAGUGUGUUUAAUUAGGUUAGAUUUAGGGUUCACUUUUUCAUUUUAUACUUUAGAAAUUAUAUAGUGUAAUUGUUCACAUAUUAAGUAGCGAAUUAUAAGUUGACAUGUGGUUAAGUGAAAAAUAAUCAUUUGUGAUAAAAAAAAAUAAUUCUAUCAUAAAACUAUCAUUAAUUUAUGAUAAAAAAAUAAUUCUAUCACAAACCCAUCAUUAAUCCUUGAUAAAAAAUAAUUCUAUCAUAAAAACAUCAUUAAUCCGUGAUAGAAAAUAAUUUUAUCACAAAGCCAUCAUUAAUUCAUGAUAGAUUAAAAAUUAUGUCACAAGUCUAUCAUAAUUAUAUGAUAUACCCAGAAUCUGUCAUAAGUUUUCUUGUAGUGAAUUUUCUACAGCAAAUUUAGCCGGCUAGCUACAAAUUUUAAACAUUUAUUAUCAUAAUUAUUUCUAUAACUUAAUUCCAAUCCCCUUUUUACUUAGAAUUUCUCAUGCUUUUAGGGAUGACAAAAUCCUCAAAGGGUUUGGGGCCCCAUGAAGCCCCAACCCAAAUGGGAAAAAAUUUGAAUCAUUUUUGGGUAAUGGGGUGGGGAGUGGGGAAAAAUAAUCCUCAAAUUCUUAACGGGGUGGGGUUUGGUUUUGUACUUCCCACCCCACCCCCACCCUCACCCUCACCUCAAUCCCCAUUAUAUAUAAAUAUGUUUUUAAUUCUUAUUUAAUAAUUUUUAUUUUAUCAACUAUUCAUAAUUUUUUUAUUUUUAUGUAAUAUAUACAUAAUAUGAAUAAAAGAAAAUCCUACAAUAUAAUUCUUUUUCAACUUUAAAACAUUGUUCUGUUUUCCUGCUCUCUUCAAACAUUUUUCAGUUUUGAGAGUAUUUUAAGAUAUUGUUUCAAACUUUUAGAGAUUUUUUUUAAAAUAAUUUAAAUACUGUAUAAUAUGGUAAUAAUUUUAUUUUAAGUCUCUAAUUUUUAAUUUAUUAAAACCAUGUAUUUAUACCUACUAUAAAAUUGACAAAUAGGGAAUGGGGUGGGGAUGGGAAAUCAUUCCCCAUAUGGGGAUUCCCCAUCCCCACCCCACUAAAUUUAUUGAGGAAUGGGAUAGGCCUCCCCACCCCCACCCCACCCCAUUGCCAUCCCUAAAUGCUUUAUAACUUGUGUAAUCCAUGAACAAAUUUUGUUGUAAAACUAAUAAAUAAAUAUUUCCAUUCUGUCAUUAAUGUUACUUCCUGCGUCUGAUUAAUUUUCCUUCUUUUUUUCUUCUUUUAGUCCAUUCUUUGAUUUUGAAUCAUGAUUGCAGUUAAUUCGGUCUAAGUGUUUUCUAUGUACUCAAUUUUUUGUCCAUUUAAUUAGCAUUGUUGAACAGUGAUUAAGUUGUAAAUUUUAAUCCUUUCAUGCUUUAAUCUUAAGCUUUGAAUUGAUGAAACAAACCCAUGCUCCAGCUUGUAUAAGUAUGUGUUUAAUAAAGGAAUAAUUAGGUCAUGAACUUGUGAAUUUUUUAGUUUCUUAAUAGAUUAAGGUAUUUUAGGUAAGAUGUUUGAUGAAAUGCCUACGUAAGUUUUAUUGAUUUCAAAUUGAAGGCCUAAGAGUAGUUGGUUAGAUCUAGUGAUAAGAAUCAUCUGAUCAAGUAGGGAAUAUAAGUCUUGAGUAUUGAAGAGAAUUUUUGUUUGUGGACUUGGUUGAAGAUUUUAUUUUGGUGGAUUAAGGCAUUGGUUUUUGAAGGCAUUGACGGAGGAGCAGUUUAUACUGAGAGUUCCGCCUUCAGUGGAGUUUGGAGUAAGAUUUGGAAGCUGGAUGUGCCUGCCAAAGUCAAGAACUUUCUUUGGAGAGCUGUGGCAAAUGUGGUUCCCCCUGCUGAUAACCUUAUUAGUCGUCGAGUCGAGGUACACCCUCAUUGUACUAUCUAUAAUGCAUCUCCUGAGACAACUUAUCAUGUCUUAGUUGAUUGUCCUUUUGCCAAACAAUGUUGGAUGGUUUCCUUGGUUGGUUUUGCUGAAAGCUUUGUUAGUUUUGGUGCUUGGUUGGAUGCUCUAUUUACUCGAUGCAGUGUUGAUGAUAGCUGUCUUGCUGCAAUGGUUUGUUGGGGCCUUUGGCAGAAUCGGAAUAAUAAGGUUUGGAGGAAUGUAGUAGGUAGAGUGCCUCAAGUUCUCAACAAAGUUGGCCAAGACUUGUUCCAAUGGCAAAAGGCUCGUCAACUGAGUCACUUUACUCAGGUACCUGCAGAUUUAAACCUUGGCUCUAUUUGCUGGAAAUGCCCUCGCUUUGGAUGGUUUAAAUGCAAUGUGGACACUGCUACUUCCCGAGCUACUGCUAGGAUAAGCUACGGAGCAGUUAUCCGAUCUUCUGAGGGUAACUUCCUUGAUGCAAAAUGUGGUUCUUUGAUUGGAAAUUUUGAAGCUCGCGAGGCAGAGGCUUUGGGUGUGCGAGAGGUCUUGAGUUGGCUUAAGAACACCCAAUUUUUUCCUGUUAUUAUUGAGACUGAUUGUUUACAAGUUUUUAAUGCUUUGAUUGAUUCCAAGGACUAUCAUAAUGGGUUUGGACUUAUUAUUUCAUAUUGUAGAGCCUUGGCUCAUUGCUUAAAAGAGGUGACUUUCUCUUUUGUAAGGAGAUCUGCGAACACCGCCGCCUAUGUUGUGGUUAAGGUGGGGUGUUCUUUGUCAGGUCCGGGUGAAUGGAGACAUGUUCCACCACCUUAGUUACUUUCUCAUUUGUCUGUUUAAUGAAUUUCUCCUUUUCUUUAAAAAAAAUGUAUAGUCUUACAUCGUUCAUAAUAACUAACAUCGUUUAUAAUAAUUAAACUUGCUCAUAUAUCUUCUUAAACAUUGGAUGAGUCUGUGAUGAACAAGAUUACUGAGAUUUGAGAGUUUGUUUACAUUGGUGAACUUACAAGUGCCAUAACAUACCACCAAUAUAUGUCCUUAUAAACAACCUCCUCGUAAUCAGUAGAACAAUCCUUGAAAAAAAAAUAUUUAUAUUGCUUAAAACAUAGUUAUAAUGGUGAUGACAUAAUUUAUUUGAGAAUAACCACAUGAGAUGAGAUUAGUAGUUUCUUAAAGAUUUUUGAAUUUUUAUAGAUAAUUUAGGGUGCAUUUGGGAUUGAGGUUAGGUAAAACUACAGCAUUAAAGUGUUUGGUAAACACCAGCUGCUGUAGCUUGGAAGAUAUGCUGAUAUGAUUUUUCACUUAUAUGAUGGAAAAUCUACUAUAUCUUUUAAAUUUUGUCAAAAUUUUUAUUUAAAAUUUUUAUUUACUAAAUAUUACUAACUUUUGUUUUAUAAUUAUAGUUUUUUUUUUACAACAGCUGUAACUUAAAAGCUACAACACCUCAAUCUCAAAUGCACCCUUAACUUAUUAUGCAUUGAAAUAUGUACCAUCACUAUACCAAUUAAGAAAUAAAUUAAAUGAAUCAAAAUUAUUUUAAAUAAAAGUAAUUCAAUUCAAAUAAAGUUGAUAUUAUUAGAAAAAUAGCAGUGAGUUAACAAUUAAAACAGUAGCUAAUAUACGUGAAAUUAAUUGGUAACAAUAUUAAACAGCAGUAAGAACAUCAACUGGAAUUAAACAACAGGAAAAACAGCAACUGGAAAUCAAACAACGGGUAAAAAAAAUAACGAAACAAAGAGAAUAACCCGAGGCCUGUAACACAGUUUCCUUAAAACAGAUUUACCACCUACUGUAGUGCUUAAGGUUUGCUAGUAACUAUUUCCCAAGAUACAACGGGUGCGAAUUAUCUAUCAAGCACAGAUAAAUAAUUCCGGCGAACCACAAUAACGUACAAACUCGAUCAAAAACAGGACAUUAGGAGGAGGAAAUAAAUUUUUAAGUGCUCUAUGUGCUGGUUGUUCUGUAUCAAAAAUAGAAAAGGAAGCAGCUGCCUUUUUAUACACAUGUGAGUAUGUAACAGUAGCAUAAAAUUAAAUUUCUGAAUUCAAUAUUAUGCGAUUUAAUGUUGUAACAGCCAAUUGAAUUUAAACAAUUCAAUUCAGCCUAUUGAAUUCAAAAGUUGAAUUGCAUAACAGCCCAAAAAAUAAUUGCGAAGCUGUUACAAAUCCUUUGAAUUCAAAAAAUUUAAAAGGAAAUUAAAAACAUUCCAUGCAAGCUUGGGUGAUUUUGGGCUGACAUUUACGUGCGCAGGACGCGCACGAGUUCAACCAAAUCGGUCUUGGAUUCACACCCCCCUGUGCACGCGCGUGUAGAGAGAGUCUCUAUCCUUAUAAUUCUUGCUCAUACAUGGGUAAGUGUCUAUAUAUAAAUACAAAUCCCUUGGCUUAUUUUUCCCUUAUGGGAUAAGCCUCAUUUCCUUUCAAAUUUCCAACUUCAAAGGUGCACUUUGAGAGACAAUUUUUCAUUCACCCAAGCACCAUUUUGAGUAAAUAAAUAUACAAUUUCAAAGUAUUUACGGAGCAAAAUCCGAAUAUCACAAAGUUUCUCACUUUCGCUAAGUGGGACCUACUCAAAAUGUGCCCUCAAAAUAGCAUAUUGAUAUACUAUUUUUCAACAGAUAUGACAUAUAAAAAAUUAAAAUAAUUGAUAUUUUUAAUUAUAAUAUUUGAAUCAUGUUGUAUAUUGGAGAAUAAAGAAAAUUAUAUUCUUACUAUGAGUAUGACAUUGAACCUGAAAAAUCAUUACCAUUAAAGUAUGACCAUUAACUUAAAAUUGUAAUCAUUAAACCUAAAAUCAUUGAGUAUUGCAUGAAACCAUUAAUAUUGAACCUUAAAAAUACAUGAAACUAAUGCUACACAUGAAAUUUAAGAUCACUAACUUAAAAUUAUAAUUAUGAAAUAGGGCAUUACAUGAAAUCAUUGUCAUUGAACCUGAUAAUUCUACCAUUAAACGUGGAAUCAAUGCUAAUAUGAAGUCUAGGACCAUCAACCUAAAAUUGAAAUCAUUAAAUUUUGAAUACUUUUAAAUUAAGUUUAAUCUACCUUUGUGGCGAGUACAUUCUAUGGGCUUAAAAAAAUAAAAAAAUAAAACUUAUUUUAGCAUUUAAAAUUGAUUUAAAUAGUGUAAAGGAUAAUAUCUAAUAAUAGUAUUAAAAAUCUUAAUAUUUAAAUUUCAAUUAUAUGAAUCAUUUUUUGUAUAUAGAAUAUCCAUAUAUAUAUAUAUAAGAAAAGAAAUUCAGAUGGCACAAACACUAUAAUUCCAGUAAGUUAUCUGCAACCGACUAUAAUGGGUGAAAAGGAUUUUGUUACCGGACUGGAACCAGACGAACCAAUUAUCAAAUCAUUAAACUUUUACACAUGGCGCGCUCUUAAGAAGUCUUUUGUCACAUCAUGGACUGUUACAUACAUAAGCUAUAACGUAGAGAGAUCCCAUUUUGAAUUGAGGAACCAUGAUUAGUUUGCUUUUUGGUAGCCAAAAUUAAGAGAUCGAUCAUAGGGUCCAACUACUUUGCGUCAUGGGUUUGGUACCCCAGUCGCUUGUCUUUUAAUGAAUGCAUAAUGCCCCUUUAGAUAGCCAACAAAGGAAUUUGAGGGAUGAGAUUUAACCAUUGGAAAAUGGGUACGAACUGAAAGAGUUUCAGUAAAAUAAAAAGAAAAACGGUGCCAAUAUUCUCACCACAAUGAGAACUAUAGUGAGCACAGAACGGUGCGUUUUGUGCUCACUAUAAAUUCUUACUGUAGUGAGAAUCUCACGCAACACACACGCAUCGUAAGCCCACGCGCGUACUCCUUCUCACUCUCGCCAAAUCUCACCUCACUCAAGCCACAACUCUCACCACCAAUCGAUUCUCCCUCACCACAUUCCGUUCUUAUCAUCGGCUCUCUCUCUUCCCCGUCGAUUGUGUCUUGCUCCUUCACACUGCCUCACUCCUUCGGAUGUCUCAAAAAAUUGACUUGCCGCUUCACUCUCUCGACUUCACUCGCCAUAAUUGAUUUCUGGAGGUAAUUUGUGUCAUUAAUUCCAAAAUUUAGUUCUCUAGGAUUAUGAAUUUGUGAAGAUUCAGCUGCCAUUGUAUUAAUUUGUGUUAAGAGUAUCUGUCGUCAAGUUUGCAGUGUACUAGGCAAGUCAGUUUAGUUUUGUGUCUGGAAACAAGGACACUUAGCUUAGUGAGUUUUAUGCCAUUGUACUGAUUCAUUCGAGGAAGCUUAAAGAGAGGAAGCUUUUGUGCUGUCAGUAAUGGCUUACUUGCAUAGGAUAUGAAUUGGGUGGCUUGCUUUUUAUUUGUAUUUUUUUAUUCUCGAUGCCGAGCUUCAUAUUGCUGAAAAUUAAAUUUAGAUAGAUUGAUUUGUAAUUGCAUUUUUUUAUUCUUGAUGCUGAGCUUUAGAUUGCUAGAAAUUAGACAAAAAAUAUGUAUUUUUUUAUUUGCGAUAAAUUUAGAUAAAUUGACUCUUAUAUAUGACCUUAACAUUUGAUUUGCAAUUUUGCAGGAACAAAGCACUUUCAUUCAAAUGAGGACUGUCUUAAAAGUUGUGGACAAUUUAGUGGUGAAAAUGAUGAUAUGCAUACAAUUUCUAAAAGGGAAGAAAGUGGCAAGAUUGGGGGACACAAUUGUUGUAUUGGUAAAAGAAGUUAUACCUAAUGCUAAAGUGAAGAAAGGCAAGAUUGUGAAAGUUGUUGGGCUGUUGUUGUUCGUGCUACCAUGCAUCAUGGUCAUUGUGAUUGAAGUGUUGUCAAAUUUGAUGACAAUGCUACAGUGCUAUGGUUUUUAUUUAGGAAAAAGAAAAUCAUCAGCCAAGACGGCAGCCUGGCCAAUAGGAAAAUGAAUAUUUGGGCCAAUCCCACAUGAGCUGAAGAAGAAAUCUCAGUUUGGUGUCCUUGCUUUUGUAGAGCAUUCUGCCUGAUUUUCAUGAUAGAUUUUGAUCUCUAAGCUUUUGGUUCCUAUUAUUAUGUUGACUGAUACACACAAAAUUUCACAAUAUUUACUGUUAAAUCAUUUGGUUUCUUGAGGCAAAUAAAAGCCAUCAUCUUCACUCUUGAAAACAAAGCUUUUCCUUUAUCUUUUCUUUGUUACAGUAUGAUUCUUGACCUAUUGCUCUGUGCAAUUAUCUUAUCAACCACAAUUGGAGUUAGUAAUAGCUUUAGAUUAUUGAUGGAAUGUUUACAUACCGUUAAUCUUCUUUGAGCAAAGUAAUGCCUGAGCUAUAGUAAAGUACUGAUGAAAGUAUGACCAUUAAUAUUUUUCUAUAAAAAAAUGUUCAUCUCGGCCAAAAUCACAGUAAUAAAAUAACUCCGGAGAUGAGUAUGGCGUUACAGAAGAGGACCGGAAGAAAAAAUAUGUAAUCCUUUGUUCCUAAAAGUCUUUAAUAUUUAUUUUAUUAGGUUUUUUCCAAGUAGGGAAUAUUACAUCUCUAAGGAACUCCACUGAACAAUUUCCAGGUUUUGCUAUUGAGAUUUCUGCUCUGCUUAUAAAACUUCUGAAAAAACAAAUAUGCAGAUUGGCUCAUGUCUGGUAGGAUUUGGGGGGCAAAGAGAGAGAGAGUCAAGCCGCAAGUCAAUUUCUAAGAGAGACUAGAGAGUAAGGUGCCGCAAGGGAGGACAUAUACCUAUUUAAUUUUUUUAAUACAGUCCAUAAUUAUUGGAUUAAUGUUAGAACUUAUUUAUUUCUCAACAUAGAAGAGGCUAACAACACAGCUUUGCUAUUCAAUAUAAGUUUGAUUAAUUCACUUGGGUAUUGAAACCAAAAAUUUAGCUAACACACAAAUUCAUUAAUUGAUAUAAUUUCUUUUCUUCAAUGCAAUACCUUAUGCCAUCAACUUACAUAACCAUUUUACCUUGAGUUACAAGAUAAUGCCCCACAAUAUCCAACACUAACCAUGCAUGAAAAAAAAAAAUGCUAGUCAAUUACAGUGCAUGAAGAUUUUGAAAACCAUUAAGCUCAAUCACCUGGGUGCCAACAACAUUAGGUACAUCUAAAAUGAGAAUAGAUUUACUGGCUUAAAAGGCAGAAUGUUCAACACCUUCAUAGUCAAUUCCAAUGGCAAGGGGAAAGCUUGCAGCAUUAUCAAAACUUAAAUUUCUUGGAUACAUUCAUAGCACAAUAACAUAUGAAAACAAAACUAUAUAUGUCUAACUUUUUCUAUUCACCUGAGAAUGAAUUAUAUCUACUAAAAAGCCAUAGUAACACAUCUUUAAAAUAUUUCACAAUAUAAUACAUUGGAUUACAGAAGUGUUUGUUAUGCCUCGAGGAUCUACCUUGCAUGCAAUCAUGACUAGAGUUUUAUAGAAUUGUGCAUUUAUGUCUUAGGAGAUAUUUAUGCAAGUUGUUAGGAAACUUCAAGUGCUUGGCAUUCAAGCCUAAAAAUACCCCAUUGCACUUGCCAUUUUGCACAACCACACCACACACGCAAACUCACCAGCACACACACAAGCUCUCUAACUCUUGUACAAAGCUCUCUUGUAAUUUCUCUUUAGUGAGUAAUAAAAUUACAUUAAGCUAUAUUGUUCUUACUUCUCUCUAGUAUUUUCGUGAGCAUCCUUACUUCGCUAGUUACUUAGCGACUUGCGUUCUAGAAGUCGUCUAAAUGUCGUACAAGUUUGCUGCACAAAACACUCAUCCCAUAACAGACUGCUAAUUAAAAUAGCUAGGAUGAGGUGUUUGGUUCAACAAGUCCAAGAUAGUUUUCUCUUUUUUUUUCUCUUUUAACUUAUCCUUCACCUCAAUUUAUACGGUCAUUCUUGGUUAAUCAUAAUUUUUAUUAUUAUUAUUAUUAUUAUUAUUGCGUGGUAUUUAGUUGUUAGUCACAUUUUUUAUAUAGUUUUCAUUUUCUUAACUCAUACUCCUAUUUUCCACAAAAAAAGAAUUAUAGGGUAACUUAACCGUAAAUUCAUGCAAGACUAGUUUCGGGAUUAAAAUUGAUAUUUCCUCUUUUUCCCCCCCACCAAGUACGCAAUGCAUUACCUAAUCACUUAAAUCCACUUCCAAAUAUUUUCGUCGAUAUUUCGAAAAUUUCAAGUCAAUCUUACCCCAACCCGUACUUGCACGCUUCCAGCGACUUGUUUUCAAUCAUUACUUGCUUGCACUCAUUCCCUGUUUGUUUACAUGCGUGACUUGUUAAAUAACUUCCAAUUUAAAUGCAUUGUUUUGUCAAAAAGUUGAUUUCCCGCAGCUUACCGGCCCAUCACCUUUUUCUCAGGUUACUCCCCAUCGUCUUUGUGUCUCUUCUGCAGCUGUGUGAUGAAAUCCAACGGUGACUGUGCUAAAAGACAAACAACUGGGGCACCAAACCCAUGACACAACGUAGCUGCCCCCAGAUAUGAUUGCUUUUUGCUGUGCUUGUAAUAAUUUAUUUUUAACGGUGAUAAUAAUCUAGCAAAAAGUUGAUGUAUUGGCCGACAAGAUUGUCAUUUUUUUCCAUUUUUGAAAGUAAACCAUUUUAACUUUGUUGCAAUCCAAAAUAGAAGACUGGUACCCUAGUAUUUUCACUUUAUUGCAAUCCAAAAUGAUAGAUUGGUAGUCUAGUAAAGCUCCCCAUAAAUCAGAAUGUCCUUUGUUUUACUCUAAAUUGUUAUAUAUCAGUUAAAUAAAGGAUUUCUUAAAUUAUUAAGAGAUAUAUUAAAAAAAGUAAGUAAACUAUAUAUUUUAAUACAGUAUGUUUUAUUAUUUAAUAUAUUAAAGUGUGUAUUUAUAUAUUAUGGAAUCUGUUGAGAUUUUAGAUAUGAAUACUUAUAAUAGAAUCUAAAGAUAUGUUGAACAUUAAUUUUAAAAUACACGCUAAAUACAUGGAGAAAAAUCUACCUUUAUUUAAAGAGAAUAAGUUUAACAAGAAUAAGAUUUAAAUUAUUUCCAAUGAGAAAUAUAUAAUAUAAAAUAAAUAUUCUAAAAUUAAGCUCAUUCACUCAACAACAAAAGAGGAUAUCCCAAAUACAAGUGGCAGAUACAAAGCUUCUUCUUGAAUUUCUUUGAUUUUUUUUUUUUAAAUGAGUUUUUACCAAUUUACCUUCAGCCAUUUAGAAAAUACUAAACGGAAUACAAACGAAAAUACAAUCCAUCUAAGUCAGAAGACCCCCUCAUCAUACGCAUAUGUGCCAUUCCACAUUUCACCUUUCAAUUCACACUGUGAUCUAAAAUUUAAAAAUAAAAAAAGAACUGGAAAGUGAAGCCACGAAGUCAACAGCAAUUUGUGAUACAUGACUCGGAACUUGCUACCGAAGCUCAUUCAUUUUUCAUGCUCUUGGAACUCACCAGAUACAUCAUUUACAGCUAUUAUUGCAAUUUUUUUAUUCUGAGAAUGUAAGAUUGUGAUAAGAGGACAAAGAUUUGUAUAAGAUGUUAAUUAGCAAGAUCCUACGUUGUUUCGAUGAUCCGAUGUUUAUUUAUAUUGCCAUAUGCAGCUUUUCAAUUUUCUUAUAACUUGUGCGAACUCUCUAAACGGAGCUUUCAGCAGUAAUUGAGGAUAUAUAACGAAGAAGGUAUGAGAUCUUAUUGUUUCAUAGGCUCUUGGUUUAAUGUUUGUUCGACUUUCAAUGGCUAUACUAGUUUGUUGUAUGUUAAUUCUAAUCAUUGGAUUAAAAACACUUUUUAGUGCAAUUUUUUAUUACAUUCAUUUUCAUUAAAUUAUUUUGGCCAUUUAUUUGUAUUAAUUCUUAAGUUAUAGAUAAUUGGUUGACGUCAAUCACCUCCAAGUCACUUCUGUUGACCAUACUUUAAAAAAUUAAAGUAAUUAAACGUUGUCGUUCGAUCUUGUGAUCAAGCCUUGUUGUUUUGCUUAUAGCAUACUGAGAUAAACUUAUCAAUUGCAGAUAAAUAGCAUGGAAAUUUUAUCAUGUACUGGAUCAAAGUUUGCAGAAUUAUUGGCGGACGCAACCGUAAACCAAGCUCGCUAUUUGUUUUGCUUCAACAGCAUUAUUAAAGAACUUGAGGAUAAGGAAACUAAUUUGAAGGAGGCACAAGAUGGCAUCAAUAAAGCUCAUUCAUUUUUCAUGCUCUUGGAACUCACCAGAUAUGCAGGCUGCUCUGGUUUCGGUAUGUUACUUUUGCUGCCUACAUCACUUACAGUUAUUAGUUCAUUUUUUUACUCUUAAGAAUGUAAGAUUUUGAUAAGAGGACAAGGACUUGUACAAGAUGUUAAUUAGCUAGAUCCUGCGUUGUUUCGAUGAUCUGAUGUUUAUUUAUAUUGCUAGAUGCAGCUUUUAAUUUUCUCCAAACUCAUGCGAACUCUGUAACUCGAGCUUUCAGCAGUAAUUGAGGAUAUAUAACGAAGAAGGUAUGAGAUAUUAUUUUUUAUAGGCUCUUAAUUUGAUGUUUGUCUUCGUUCCAAUGGCUAUACUAGCUUGUUUUAUGACAAUUCUAAUCAUUGGAUUAAAAAUAGACCGAAAAGACAUACCAAUAAAAUGGUCGAGAAUUUAAGUUCUAAGUUUUUAGUGUAAUUUUUUAUUUUCAUUAAAUUAUUUUUGCCAUUUAUUUGUAUUAAUUUAACUUAACGUCAACCACCUCCAAGUCAGUACUGUUGACCAUUCUUUAAAAAUAAAAUCAAUCUUUAACCUAACGACAAUCACCUCAAGUCAGUACUGUUAACUAUACUUUAAAAAUAAAACUAAUUUUCCUAACCCAAGUCCCAAGUCCCAACAUGAGUCCAUUAUGCUCUCGUGCCAUUUCAAAUUGGUCCAUUUAAAACGUCUUUUCAAUUGUACAAAAAAAAAAAAAAAGAAAUUGAAAGUGGCGCAGUUCAUGCCCUUCUAUUUUCUUCACGAAACCCAUUUGGCUAAUUUUUAAACAAAAUUUUUAUUAAAAAAUUUUGAUAAAUAUAUGAUUACUAAUAUAACUCUUUUAAAUUCGACAUAUAAGCUUAUUUUACAAAUUAGCUUCAUAUAAAUUAUCCUUUUACAAAUGAUUCAAUUCUAAUUGGAACAUUACAAAAAUACGAACAUUAAUAAAAAAUCAAUAUUUUAUAUUUGUUUCCAAUUAAAACCUAAUUAAUAUUCUUUAUGUUUCAUUUGUUGCGUGAUAGAUUCAUUUGAAUUUUAAUUUACAACAGACAAAAUUACCAUCUUACAAUUGAAAAGUCAUGUUCAAUAGGUAUAAAAGUAAUGACAUAGACGUUUUAGGUUAAAUUUUAAAAAUACAAAAGGUCCGCCUAAGUUACAGUUAAUGUAACUUACAGCUGCCCUGUAAAAUUUCGUUCAGUUUCCUAUAUUCUAUAUUAUUUACAAUUUAUUCAUAAGUAUUAUAAACAUUUUUGAAUUGUAAAAUUUCAUUUAAUUCCUUAUAUUCUGUUUUAUCUCAUUAAAAGUCCUAGAGUUUCAAUUCACCCCUUAUAAUUUUAAAUUCCCAAAAUAACUUCCAUUUAAUUAAAAAUAUAAUAAUUAUUAAAUUAAUUAUAAUUAUAAUUAUAAUUAAAAUAAUUAUUAUAUUAUAAUCAUAAAUAUAAUUAUAAUUUUUUUGUUAAAUUGUUAAUGAUAAUAAUUAACGAUAAUUAUUAAUCAUAAUUAAUUUUUGAAUAAUUAUAAUAACAAUCAAAAUAAUUAAAAUAAAAAAUAAUAAUUAUGACAAAAAUUAAUUAAGAUUUUUAUAGUAAUUUAUUACAAUUUAACUCACUCUAAUUUUUAUUCUAAGACAAAGUAAACACAUAAAUAAUAAUACAGCUAAUUUUAAUUACGAUUUCUGCAGUUCAAGUAAAUAAAUUAUUAUGAUCUCAAUUCCUCAUUUUGAUUCUAACUCAUUAUGUUUCCAGCUAAUUUCGAUUCCUUUUUAGUCAAUGUAAUAUAAAAUUCAUAAUACUUAUGAAUAAAUUGUAAAUAUUAUAGAGUGGUCUAACUGAUUAUAGAGUGGUUUACAAUUUUAUAGUGCGUUCACUAAAUAGGAAUCUAAAUUAGUUACAAACAUAAUGAGUUAGAAUCGGAAUAGGUAGAAUCGAAAUGAGGAAUUGGAAUCAUAAUAAUUUUAUUUACUUGAACUGCAGGACUCGUAAUUAGAAUGAGUUGCAUUACUAUUUAUGUGUUUACUUUGUCUUAGAAUAAAAAUCAGAGUGAGUCAAAUUGUAACAAAUUACUAUAAAAUCCUUAAUUAAUUUUUAUCAUAAUUAUUAUUUUGUAUUUUAAUUAUUGUUAUUAUUAUUCAAAAUUUAAUUAUUAAUAAUAAUUAUCGUUAAUUAUUAUCAUUAACAAUUUAAUGAAAAAAUUAUUAUUAAUUGUUGUUAAUAGAUUAAUUAAUUAUAAUACUUUUUAUUCUUGUUAAUAAUAAUCUAUUUAAAAAUUAUAAUCAUAUUUAUAAUUAUAAUAAAAUAAUUAUUGUAAUUAUAAUUAUAAUUAUAAUUAUAAUUCAUUUAAUAAUUACUAUAUUUUUUAAUAAAAUGGAAGUUGUUUUGGGAAUUUAAAAUUAUAGGGGGCGCUUCUCAAAAUAAAAAAAUUAUAGGGGGCAAAUUGGUACUCUAAGAGUUUAAAUGAAAUAAAACAGAGUGCAUGAGGCUAAAUAAAAUUUUACAAUCUAAAAAAUGCUAUAAUACUUAUAACUAAACUGUAAAUAAUAUAAAGUAUAGGGGGCUAAACGAAAUUUACAGAGCAACUGUAACUUGCACUAACUGUAACUUAGGCGGACCCAAAUACAAAUACUAUAACUGGUAAUAGGUCCAAACUUUAGAGAAUAAAAAAACAAAUUAGCGCAAUCUUCACCAUACCAAGUAAGGUGUCAUUUAUAUCUAUUGAAUAAUAAGAUAGGGUAAUAAAUAGUUUAACGAAUAAAUAAAUUAAUUAUCCAAUAUGUGAGUUUAAUGAACAUUUAAAGGAAAAGAAAAUUAAGAUAUUAUUUGGAAUUAUGGUUUUAUUUUAUUGAAGGUAAAAAAAAAAAAAAAGGUAAUCAUCUUCAAACCAUUCAAAAUUUAUCAUGAGUGGGGCUUGCAUAGGAUGUUGAACUCCUCUAAUCUCUAAUACUCUUUUUAAUUGUUAUUAUGGGUGGCUUUUCAGUUAUUCAUCACUUUUAUCAUAUUCCCCACGCAACUGCCUGUCUUCACUCGCAAUGCACCACAAACUCUUAAGUUUAUCCAGAUUCUAUUAAAUUUGUUGUUUGAUAUUUUCAUUUAAAAUUUUCUAAAGUAAUCUAAUUUCAAUGUAAUCCAUCAUAUAUAACGUUUACCUUAUUUCUUCUCUUCUGCUUUGCAUUUUGCACAUAUUGAUCAAAGCUGGCGUUAAUAAGCCCAAAAAAAAAAAAAAGUAAUUAAACGUUGUCGUUCGAUCUUGAUCAAGCCUCGUUGUUUUGCUUAUAGCAUGCUGAGAUCAAUUUUAUUAAAUGCAGAUAAAUAGCAUGGAAAUUUUAUCAGGUGUUGCAUCAAAGCUUGGAGAAUUAUUGGCGGACACAACCAUAAACCAAGCUCGCUAUCUGCUCUGUUUCAACAGCAUAGUUAAAGACCUUGAGGUUAAAGAAACUAAUUUGAAGGAGGCACAAGAUGGCAUCAAUAAAGCAAUCGAAGAAGAACGACAAAAACAUCGCGCCAUAGUAGUCGAGAAAGAUGUAGAGAAGUGGCUGGCGGAUGUAGUCAAAGAAAUGGCCAAUGUUCAAAAUUUGAAAGCAAAGAUAAAUGAAAACAAAAGUUGUCUUAAUGGAUGGUGUCCUAAUUGGUGUUGCCUAUAUUGGCUGGGUAGAAAAGCAUCAAAGGAGACUCGCAACUUGUCCGAUCUACAAAAGAAAUGCGGCAAAUUCAGCACAGUUGCCCGUCCUAAACCUCUACCAUCAAACAAAGAAUUGCCCGCACCAAGACAUUUUACGUCUUUCGAGACUACAGAACUGGCUUGCAAUCAGAUCAUUGAAUCACUGAAAAGAGAAAGCACAAAAAUGGUGGGACUGCAUGGUCUCGGUGGUGUAGGAAAGACGACCUUGGCAAAAUUUGCGGGCAAUCAACUUCGGCAACAAAAGAUUUUCGAUGACGUAGGGAUAGCCACUAUAUCUCGGGAUCCAAAUAUAAUAAAUGUUCAAAGUGAGCUUGUAAAGUCGUUAGGUUGGGCAUUAACGGAGAAAGAUGAAAAUGAUAGAGCAGACCGAUUGCGCUUGAUGUUCUCUGAGAGUAAAAGCCGCAAGAUCCUCAUAAUCCUUGACGAUGUCUGGAAUGAACUCGACUUGGAGACAGUAGGUAUUCCUGUUGGUGAUAUAGACAAUUGUUGCAAAAUCCUUCUAACCACUCGCCUUCAGCCAGUUUGUGAUCGCAUGGGUUGUGACACGCGGAUUCAACUAGGUGUUCUAAAGCGAGAAGAAGGACUGGCUUUACUAAGAAAGCAUGCCGGCAUUGAUGCUGAUUCAUUGAUUGGUGUUUCAGAACGAGUUGCUGAUGAAUGUAAGGGGCUGCCUUUGGCUAUUAAAGCUGUUGGAAGUGCACUAAGCGGUAAAGGAUUUGGUGAAUGGAAAGUAGCUCUACAUAAACUAAAAAAUGCAAAACUUAAUACAAUAGAAGGUAUUGGCAAGGAGGACCAAGACGUUUACCAUUGUCUCAAAUUUAGUUACGAUUAUUUGAAUGGUGAGGAUUCCAGGUCAUGCUUCUUGUUGUGUUCGCUGUUUCCAGAAGAUUAUGAGAUAGAUUUGGAGGAUUUGGUUGGAUAUGCAGUGGCGUUGGAUUGGUAUCAAGUUGAGUCAAUCGAAGAUGCCAGGAGCCUAGUGAGUGGAACGAUUAAAGAGCUCAAAGCGUCUUCACUGCUGUUAGACGCUGGUAAUGACAGAUUUGUAAAAAUGCAUGACAUUGUACGUGACGUAGCCUUAUGGAUAGGCUCAAUGGAGAAAAAAUAUUUAACUAGUAAAGUUGGCAUUGGAUUGGCGGAACAGGCAGUGGAACAAUACAGAGGAAUCUCUUUGAUGGGAAAUGAAAAAGAAGAGCUUCCAAGUGGUUUGGUAUGCCCUAACCUUCAUAUUUUGCGACUGGAGAAUACUGAAUAUGACUAUCAAUUGCAUGUUCCAGAACAUUUUUUCGAAGGGAUGCCAGCAUUGAAAGUUGUUACUAUAAUAGGAGGAGUCAUUUCACUUAAAUCGCUUCAAUUCCUCACCAACCUCCAAGUUCUGCAGUUGAUUCGAUGUAACGUGAGUGACGCGUCUUUCCUUGGAAAGUUGAAGAGACUUCAAAUUCUUUGUGUCAAGGGGUCGCCCAUUGAAAUUCCUGAAGAAUUUGAAGAUCAACUUAGUAGAUUGAAACUUCUUCUAUUCAUUGAUUCUGGUUCUACUUCUCCUAUUACGAUAAAAAAAUUUCCUCAAUUAGAAGAAUUUUAUGGUUGGAUAAAAGAUUGGGAGGUUGAGAGGAUGAGUGCAGAAGAAAGUUACGCUAGGGCAGCUGAGUUGAACUCCCAACCCGACGGUGAUGAAAUCCAAGAUGACGAUGGAAAGACUUUACACACUGACAAAAAAAUUUCACGUCUUCCAGAAGACUUUACAUUCCCGAAAUUGCAAAUGUACUUCGUCAGUAACUGGAACAAACUAAAAGUUGGAAUGGAAAAAGGUGAAAUUCUUGGACAGAGAAGGUGCUUAAUGAUUAGUAAUUGUGAAGCGACCUCGCUCGGUAUUUUUUCAGCAUUGUAUCAAGAACUGGAAAUUCUUUAUUUAAGUGGGAUUACAGGUUGUCAAUAUAUUGUGCCAAGCAUAGAUGAAAGGGGCUUAAAUGAGCUGAGUUGUCUUUUUGUCAACAAGUGCAAAGAAUUAGAAUGCAUAAUGGAUGCCUCUAAGUUGCCGCAUAGAAAGAGUGGGAAUCUUGUGAUGCUCUCAAGAUUAGCAGAGUUAUCUAUGUGGGAAUUGCCAGAACUGAAGUGGAUAUGGAAGGCGCCCGCCCAACAUGUGAUCAGCCUCCAAACUCUUACAGAAUUGAAUGUGCAUAGGUGCAACAAGUUGACAUAUAUCUUCACGUUGUCACAAGCUCGAAGUUUGGAGCAGCUUAAAAGUCUCUAUGUAAGGGAAUGCGAGAGACUGGAAUGUAUUGUCAAAGCAAAGUUUGAUCACAAUGAAGGGGAAAUAAGUGUCCGAGAUGGAAAUACGAUGCUCGCCCUCCCUUUAUUGAGAAAAUUAACACUUGAUGAUCUCCCACAACUCAUGAGCUUCUGUUCAGAAAAUUAUUGUUCAAUUUGGACAGCAUUGGAAGAGUCACACCUUAGGCACUGUCCCAACUUGACCGUCAAUAGUACUGAACUUGAAGCCAAUUUGCAGUAUCUUGAAGAGGUAUGUUUGUUUGUGUUUACAUUAUUUCUUUUCCUUCAAUUUUACUCAAAAUGAUAGUUUAACAAUAAAUUUUAUGAUCAGCCAUUAGUUAUUUGGUCCUAUGGAGAUGAUGAUGAUAGUGGAUGUGGUGAUGAUAAUAAUAAUGCUCAAAUAUCUUAAGGAAAUUCCUUUAUUUUAGGGCCUACAAUCAUUCUUCAAAUGAAAGUCAUAUCUCAUUUUGGUAUAGAAAGAAUUGAUGCAAACACUUUUGAAGUGUAUAUAAUAUUACUCAAAUUCAAUUAAUUAGCUGAUCAAGCCAUAGAAAUUAAUAGAAUACUAAUUUUUCUCAAACAAUCUAAUGUCACCUUUAUAUCACUUCACAUGAUCUCUUCUAACUAAUUUCAUUUAAAAAAAUUCCAUUACUUUUUAAUUAUUUUAUUAGUUUGCAUAUGUAUUAUUACAUUUUUGUAUUGAUUUUGUUUUCUGUUUUUGUUUUUGCGGUGCUCAUCACUUAUCAUGUGAUAAUCCUAGCUGCUAAUAGAUUUUAAUAACAUCAAGUUAUUUAUUUAUUUGUCUCAGAACUUAAAAAUUCUAAAUGUGGAAAAUUGUUCCCAUUUGAGUGACAUGAUUCUAGCACUGUUGAAGCACAGCUUAAAAAAUUUGGAAUAUUUGGGUAUUACCCAACUUGGAGUACAAGUGGUAUUUCAAUUGGAAGCUAUUAUCACUGAGGGACAAGAAAACAAAUUAUUCCCAUGUUUGAAGACAUUGUACUUGCACGAUCUUCGAGAACUGCAAGUAUUAUAUCAUGAAGGACCCACGCAUAAUUUUAGCCCGCAAAAUCUUACCGAAUUAACUGUAGGGGGGUGCACUAUGCUGAAACGUCUCCUCUCAUCAACACUUGCUCGAAAUCUAUUACAAUUGGAGGCAUUGGUUAUUUGGAAUUGCUUGGAAUUAGAGCAAAUCAUUGAUAAGGAUGAGGAUGAGGAUCAUCUCCUACCUGUAUGUUUCCCAAAACUCAACUAUAUCUCUAUCAGUCAUUGCCCCAAACUAAAGCAUCUAUUUCAUAUCAGCGUAGCUCCAAGUCUUGAAAAACUGAAGUACCUAUGCAUAACAGCUAAUGAUGAAUUAGAAGAACUAUUCUGGCAUAAAGAUGGAGCAGAUGUCACGAAUUAUAACGAAAUUGUUAUGAAUGAACUUCGGGACUUGAAACUGAGAGGUUUACCAAACCUCACCAACUUUUGGCCUGCGGGUUAUCAAAUCCCAUUUCCAUCUGCAUCCUAUGAAGAUGUUCGUAAUUGUCCCAAGCUUCGUGAAAAUUCAGAAGGAGACAGAUGAUUCCGAGAAUUCUGGAGCAGAGGUAAGCUCUUGAGAACUUUAAUUAAUUGACUCCACAUAUAGUUGGUUCAUGUUUUCAUUUGUGAUAGCUGAUUGAUUCAUCCUCAAAUCAAGAGACCCUCUUUACAUAAAAAUACAUAUUGACAUUAAUUUCACAGAUGAGCCACAGAAUUCUACCAAAAUUUUCUUUCUAAUACUUUUUUUUAAUGUUUUCUUUUCUUCUUGUUAUAAUAUUCUCUGUUUGCAUUUUUUAUUUUACUCAUCAUUCAUGGUUAAUGCCCAAGAUGCUAACAAGCUUUGUUCUGUACUUGUUUUCCAGGUGGAUGAUAUUAUUGCGGGCUUAAAUUGUGAAGACUAAAGUUUCAAGGCUUUGUUGUAUGUAUCCCAAGGUUUGUUCAACUUCAAAAUUUUACAUGUUCCUUUUGCGUUCGUUGUUUCUUCAAUUGUUAGACCUUUGGCAAAUUUGGUGGCUAAAUUAAUGGCCUUUUCGAUGGGCACUAAUUGGGCCAAUUUAGUUGUAGCACGCAUUUUGUAUUGAGGAACAUGAAAAUGUUCUAGCUUUCUAGACGGCAAGAAAGUGUGUAAUGUUGUGACAGCAAUAAUUUUUACUUUUUAUGUGAUAGUAUUGGAUAUUUUUGGAUUUUGUGAAGUGAGAUUUUAUAAACUUAUAAAUGGGUUCACUAUAAAUAUGUGUUUCUCAUUUUCUGGUACCCGUAUUUUUUGUUAGCCACCCGUUCUCAUUGGCUUGUGGAAUGUGCAUUUGAAAGAGCAUUUUGUGAAAUGAUUUUACUCAAUUAUGCUUUGGAUUUAUUUAUGAUGCUGUAUGAAUUUUUACAGCAUUGAUAGUAGGAUUAACGUGGAUCAUUAGCUUUAAGUGUCUUAAUCUCAAUCGUUCAUUUAAUAUAAUGGAUAAUUAAAUAAUUAAUUAAAAGGUAGCAUGUAACUUACAAAUUGCUGGUAAAUUUUUUUAAUUUUAAAUUAAUAUUAAUUUGACAAAAAAACCACACACACCCCAUGGUUUGCUUAAAUAGUUAUACGGAUCUACUUAGUUUCAUAAAUAGUAACACAAACCCCUUAACUUUCAUAAAUGACUAUUAUACCUUUGUUGAAUAAUAACUUAAGCUACUGAUUCUCUGUAAUUUUUUUUUUUAAUUUAUUUUGGCUUUCGCUGAAGCACUAGGCACUAGCUAAUAAGUGAUUUGAAUUCUUGUUUGCAUAGAUGGAGUGAAGGGUAAGUGUUGACGACACGAGUACUUGGGUAAUCUACGUUGGCGAAUGGUUAUAGACAGGUGGUUGCAUGCAAAACGUAAGAUUUGGCUGGUGAUGAUUUAUGUGCAGGGUAGCUGCCAUAUGCAAUAUGUGAACGUAUAAUUUCAUGGGAAAAGUUUGGUGAAUGUAUGAAUUUGGAGAACCACCGUACUCUGUAACAUCAAGUUCUAAAUGCACAAACUACGGCCAGGGCGCUGUUUCAGAAAUUUCCCAGGCCCCCUGAAGAUCAUCACCAUUUUCUUGAUCAAAACAUUCAAGGACACCAUUUGAUAAGCAAUUAAAUGAUCGAUGAUAUGCUAUGAAUUGUAUGCUGCAGCAUCGAUAUAUAUCCCUCUCCGUCCAGAUGUUGUCAAUUAUGUUCAAGUUCUGUAUAUAUGUAUGUUGAAUGUGCUGCUAGCUGGCUACUAAUUUCUUUUCUUCUCUAUAUAUGUCAUGUCAGUGUGUUUGCUUCAGUGCUUGUGCCCAUGUUGGGAGUUGGGAGGGACUGCAUUAUGAAUAAACUUGUGUGUUUUCUACAUUAAUAUUUUCUUCUCCUUCUUCUUCUACACUAUUGAAUGGCUUCGUGUCAAAGGGCGCCAAUGACGAAUUAAUAUGUAUAUAUUAACUAAUAGGUAAGAAUCAAUCUCACCUCUUUUUUUAGCACACUUCUGUAGCCUUGAGAGAAAGUAUUUGAUUGGUUAGACAACAGGAUAUGUGAACUUUAAUUAAUUAAAUAUUUUUUAAUGAUUUUAAUAAAUAAAAUUAUUGUUACAAUCCAGCUUGCUCAAGGUAUCCAAAAUGCACUAGCUUGCUCAAGGUAUCCCAAAGCUUCCAAUACUCCUUUUAAAAUCUAAGAAAUCCCACUUUUUAAUAAAAUUGUAAAAAAGGACAUAAAAUUACAAUAGAAUUUUAAUUAAAUUUCAUAUUAUUUAAAAUAAAUUUUGUAAAUAAACUUUAUCAAAAUGAAUUUAUUGUUGUUAUAAUCUAUUUCUUCAUUGUUUAAAAAUUAUUUUGAUUUUAUCAAUAAAAUUAAUUAUAUCGCAUAUUAAGAUUAGAAAAUAGUAAGGUUGCAUGAGUGUUAAAGACAUGUUAGUUUAAUUAAAUUCAUAUUUAUCCUUUAUAUAAUUUUCAGUACAAUAAAAUGACGAUUACAAAAGUGAAGUGAUACAAGGAUUAUACUCAGAAUAAAAAGCCCAGGCCUGGCAGUCAAUACCACGCCCGGGCUUAGCCACAGGUCCGACCCAUUUUAAUAUGAAAGAACAUAUAAACAGAAGUCAAAACUUGUAAUUUUGUUAAAAAGUAGGGAGUAAAAUAAUAGUUCAUUAAUCAUAAAAAAAUAGACAUACGAGUUGGAAUCGAAUAUAUUGGUCCAUUUUUCAAUUUGCUGGCCCUCUUGGUUUCUUCAUCGUCGACUUCAACGCAGACCCACGAGAAGGAAAAGCAUAACAAGAGCAUCAUAUGGCGCUGCCUCCUGGUUCCUACUCCGGCACCAGCCCCCUCUGGUAAUUCCAUUUUUAUCUUCUUUUAUUCCAUGUGUGUAAUUUUUUUUCUAAUCAAUAUUUUCUUUGUUUUGUUUUACAUGCGAUGGGAUGGAGUUUUUAUGAAUUGUUAUUGAAAGAUCAUUUAUUUUCUGAUCUGGACGGGUUCUUGAGUAGUAAGAAUAGGUUGCUCUGGUUUCGGCUUUUUCGCUCGGUCUCGUUUAUGGAAACAUUAACCUCAAGUACCUCAAGGUACAAUCACUCUUUGCUUCAACCUUUGUUCUUAAUUUGUGCUUUAUUUGUUUGUAACUGAAAAUGAUAGAAUUUUAACUGCAUUGUUUUUUCUUUUUCAGUAUUUAGUUUAGAUAACGAUUUUAUUCUGGUUUCUUGCUGUGUAUUUAGCUAAUGUUAAUAAUUUCAUUAGAACUUAUAAUGCUUUAUUUUAAUUAUUUUUUUCGCUUUCACCAAAUGGGGCUCGCCGCUUCUUGGUGCUGCCCAAACUCACAUCAUUAUCGAAUGGCUAUUCUGGUGUUAGUUUAUAUUGUUUUCGGAAAUGCAGGAUACAGAAUCUCUUUUAGAGAACAUGUUUUGGUACAGUUUAUAAAAUCAUUUGUAAUUUUGUGUAAAUUUUGAAAUUAAUAAACAGUAGUUUUCUUUUUCUUGUAAGUUUUAGAUCCUUACUUAAAGUUACUGCAUGCGAUAAUUUAGUAGAUGCGAGGGUUUAAUGAGAUUGAUGAUUUAGACUCAUCUUGUUAUUGGGAAAGUUCAAUGGAUGAGGGGAAAUGUGAAUUCAAUAGGUAAAAUUAUCACGGGCUGAGGGGAAAUGUGAAGUCAAGAGGAGGAAUUAUGAAGGGACGAAAAUAUCUAAUUCAUAAUUGUUAUUGAGCUUUAUAGACGUUAGAUUUUGUGUUAUUAUUGCUGUGUUUCUACCUAUUAGUACAUUUAUUUUUCCUGUGUACGUACAACAAAUGGAUGAUCAUUUUCCUUUGAAAAUGCUUGUCUAAUACCCUUUUUUUUUUUCUUUUUCACUUAGUCGAAGGGAAAGUCUUUCAAGAUAGUUUCAAUUUUUUAAUUUUGGUCUAAAAGUAGUUCUUCUACUUAUUUUUCUUCCUGGAACGGUGGGGACAACAAAAGUCUACUACUAUUAGAUCAUUAACUUCUGCGGUUCAUUGACACAUAAAGACCUGUAGCUGUAGCGAUGUUUCAGAAAUUUCAUAACUGAUGUGACUGAACGACGUUUACUGAUUAGAAACCGAGAGCCCAUUUGUCUCAUUGUUUAGAUGUUCUCAUUUGAAGCUUAAUUCACAAAACCCAGCGUUAAUUGUAGAACCAAAAUCUGUCCAACACAAUGUGGGAAUUUUUAGGGAUUUGGACAACAAACCCCAAAAUCAAUAUCUUCAUUUGGGUUGUUAAAUACAUAGUGUCGUAUGCUAAUAGCCACGCAUUUAGUUAUAUGCCUCAAGUUGUAAGAGAACAAAGACAAGAGAAAAAUUGUUCAACCAAUUGGAAAGCAAAGGUGUAAUUAGGCCUGUUGAGCUGCAUUCAUGUAGUGUUUGUGAAAGGAGAUUUUAUAAUAAUGACAAAUUUGUUAAUUAUUUUAUGCGAAUUCAUGAGUGUAAAGUAAAGAAGAGAUUGAAUCAAGUAGAAUCAGCUAGAGGGAAAAGAAGAGUGCAUUUGGGUGGCAUGUAUUCAAUGAAGAUGAAAAAAUAUAAAAGGGCUGCAAGGACAAUUUUGACUCAAAAAGUGGGUUAUGGUUUGGCAAAUGAGUUGAAAAGAAAGGGGUUUUGGGUCAGGACAGUGUUAGAUAAGCCACAAGCUGCGGAUGUUUUGUUGAGAAAUCAUACGGUGGAUAUGAUGGACAAAAGAAGGAUUGAGUGUCUGCUUGUUGUGUUGGAUAAUUCAGAUUUUGUGUAGGUUUUGCAGAAGGCGUAGUUGAGGUGUCUGAAGACCCUUUUUAUGGGGAAUAUAAAUGAUGAGGCGUUGAAGAGAAUUGCUGAUGCUUGUUUUUCUUCGAGGGAUAUAUUAACAGGGAAGGCAAGGAAGGAAGCCAUAUCGGUUUUUGGCAAAUGGAAGGACCGAGAUGUUUGAAAAUGUCGGAGUGGACUUAUAAUCCAGAGGUGGAGAAGAAGCUCUUGAUUGGGAUGAUGAGAGUGAGGAUGCAAAUGUUGCUGGUAUAACUCAUGCCAGUGAUGCAGAUUGUAUCAAGAAUGGAAAUAAUGGUGCUUGGUGGAAGCUGGAAUCUUUUCAUUCAGAAGCCACUUCAUAACAAUUGUGCUAAAGACAGUUGGUGGUAAUAUCUUUGACAUAUUCUGUGACUAGGUAAAGUUCUCUUACAAUUUCUUGCUAGCAUUUCUGAAAGCAUGAAAUAAUUGUUCCUCGUACCAAACAAAGUUAUAUUUAUAUGGCUUCCAUUUUUUUUUUUAACUUUAAAUUUUGCUGCUUAGAAUUAAAAAGAUUGUGUUUGGCUUUAUGGUAUCUUACAUAAAAUUUUGUCCAAGUUUUCCAGAAAUAAAUCUUGCAAAAUUUUGAUUAAGAAACUAGGGAAAAUAGAAAGCAUAGUCUCUGAUAGACUAGUGGAAGGCAACCUUUACAGCUCAGGUCUAUUGGAAGGAAAAUGAUGUUUGCCCCGAGUCAAACCCCAGGCCCCGAAACUAAACAAAACGACAUCGUUUGGUUUUUUUUUGUUUUUUUCUUUUUGCUUCUCCAAAACGUUGUUGUUUGACUUAGCAUUUGUAAAAUGACUCUGCGUCACUCUUCCUCUUCGUUUCUUUGUUUCACCAGGGAACAAGAUAGAAUGGAAAGAAUCUUCGUCUUCGUUACUAUCUAGCACCCGAACGAAGAUCAAGCAGUGUUUUGUUUGCCGAAAGCAACUCAACAUUCAAAUUGAGUUGCAGUUAAUAUUAUGUAUUUUAUUAAGUUUGUGUUGGUUACUCCAUGUAUAAGUGAGGAGCAAAAGGGGAAUUGCCAGGCAGGCUGUUAUGGCUUGGAGGUUAUUCAAGCCCUCUCUCUCUCUCUCUCUGUGUUUAUGCACCCACGCACUUGUGCAUGUAUAUCUGACUGAUAUGAGUAGCUGCAGAAUCUGUCUAAAGAGGCUGUUAUGGGUGAUGCCUCACAUGCUUUUGUUCAUCUUCAUGCUAUGCUUGUAGUAGAUAAGGUGAGGAAAUUGUGGUGGUUUAAAGUUUUGGAUUCUUAUGCUGGGUUGAUUGUACUUCCUAAUUCUCGGUAAAAUUAUUAAUUUGAGAUUCAUUUAUUGUGAGUAGUGGAUUUCUGCAUCUCCAAAUUCAACCUUUGUAAAAGCAUUGCAGUAUAAGGUUGGGAUAUACAAACAAAUACCCAGCUCAUUAAUCAACAUUCAAAAUGCAAUAUAGAAACAAAUACUCAGUUAAUCUUGUUAUGCCGAAACUUCACAGGCGCUGUUGAUCUUGUUUCGCCGAAACUCAGCUUAGUAACCAAAACUCAGCUUUCACGGACAAAUUUUGCAGCUGUUGUUAAUCACCUUCUUCAUUAAAUGGGUGCGUUCUUUGUAAGAGAAAGAUCACAGCUUAAGACGAAGAGGAUGAAGAGAAAAGCAGUUGUUAAGUCGAACAAAGAAGAAGAGAGACGCAGGGAUUCUGCAGAGUCAUUUUGCAAAUGCUAAGUCAAACAGCAACGUUUUGGAGAAGAAAAAAAAAAAAAAAGGGCGUCGUUUUAUUUAGUUUUGGGGUUUGACCCGGGACAAAUAUCAGAACUCUUAUUGGAAUCUUGAAUUAUAUAAUCCAUCUUUCACUUGAAGAUUUCUUGCAACAAAUGGCACAGUUGAAGAAGUAAUGGCAGCUGCAGUGGCCAAUGUGGUCAUGCUGCAUUUUCAUUUGAUAGACUUUACCAAAAAAGGGGUGGCGGGGGAAGAGAAGAGAUUUACGGGCAUGGCUUGUCUUUUUACUCUGUUUUAUUUUACUAAUGCACAGUGUCAGAAAGUAGAUUAUGUUGCAUGCUAUUGGAUUUGUGUUGCAAGAAUAAUCAUAUCGCGUUACAGACCAUUUGGACAGUCACAAGUCACAAAUUAGCUUCAGUGAAAUCUCUCAAUUCUUUUUGGGGAAAAUAUUUUGGAGCUGUAAGCUGUUGAUACCACUGUGAAUGUGCUUAAUAUUGAAGUAGAACAGAUACGUUAACAGAGAUUUUGUGGGGGUUUUGGAAAUUGAAGGAUUGGCUAGCUGCAUCUUGUUCUGGACUCAAGCUUCGUGUUCGAAGGUAUACAUGUUCUGCAUACCAUAAAUUCCUGUUUGCUUUUUAUUAUUAUUUUGUCUUUAAAAAAUCUUUGACCAAGUACUAAUUGUGACUUAGACUUUCUUAAAUGGGCAAGCUUUCAACACGAGAUUUUGUCAUCUCAAAAAGAAAAGUUAAUUAAACUUUUGUGUUAAAUUUGUAUUUAGUAACGUCAUAAUUCUUAAGUAACCUCUUGAAUUUUUUUUUAUAUCUCUAUAAAUUAAAUUUCUGAAACUAUUUGUUGCUUCAUCUUACGAUCCAAAUAUCUCGUCAAUUGUGUGAGGAUAUACUAUUUCAAAUGUCGUUUAAACCAAUAUCUAUCAAAACAUGCAAGUAUUUCAUUGUACAGAGUUGGACAAAAAGGGGACCAACAUAAACACGGGUAUGGUAAAACAAUUUACUAAUAUUUACCACAAACAUUAGGUAAUUGAUUAUUUCUACAACAUAAUUAUAACAAUGAUUAUUUCAAAAGUUGGAGACUUGGUCAUAUCUCCAUAGAAAGAAUCAAAAGAUUAGUAAAUGAUGGAGUACUUAAUACUUUGGAUUUUACUAAUUUUGGUACUUGUGUAGACUGCAUAAAGGGAAAGCAGACCACUAAGAGAAAUAAAAGUGCUCAGAGGAGUUCAAAAAUAUUAGAAAUCAUACAUUCAGAUAUUUGUAGUCCGGACAUAGACUUAUAUGGUUGUUGUGCAAAUUUUAAUGUACUCGCAAGCGCACGAAUCUAUUGUAGUAUAGACUAAUGGUGACGAGUGUCGAUCCCACGAGGAGGUGGAUUUUAAUUGUGUGUAGAAUUAAUUUUGUAAAUGGGUGAUUGGAUUUGUGGUGGAAAUAAUUUGGAAUAUGCUAAAACUUAAAUUAAAAUGGCGAGAAUAAAUUCUAAAAUUGGAAUUGAAAUGGCGAGAAUAAAUUGAAGAGAAUUCUAUUGAAAUGUCGUACUUGGGUAUCUGGAUCUGUAUCAACAUGCAUCAUGGGCUAAAUAAUCCUUAUUAAUGCCAAUUAAAUCAUGAGGGGGAAAUCCACACCUCAUGAACCACGCUCUAAUCAAUAUGGUGCUAAUGGCUUAUCGUGCCAAAUAAUAAUAACCUUAUACUAGAGAGCCGGUGUAACCAAUGCGGUAUCUAGACAAGAUUAUUAUUAUUUGUCGACGAGAAGUCAAAACAUCCACAAAAACUAGAGGGGAAGAGAAAAUAAAUUUACCAAAUUAAGCCCAUGACACAUGUUGAGACUUCACCUUCAACCCAAGCUUGAAAGAAAAUUAGCCACUCAUAAUUGAACUAGGGGCAAAAUGGGAAUUUAUUAAAAUACGUAGAAAAUACAAGAUGGAGAAGGAAUUACAGAAAAUAGAUCCCAAAAAUGGAUUCAGAGAUAUCAAAUUAGGGGGGAGAGGCCCCCUUUUUAUAGAUACAUGGAGUAAAUCAUGGCCAUCGGAUUAAAAACAGUUUGGACGCUCAGGAUUGCGCCACGUCAUCAGUCAACAGUACGCGGUUUGACCACGUGGGUGAACAGUAACACGGUUUGACCCGGCUUUGAACAGUAACGCGAUUUGGUUGAAAAUGAUCCUGUGUAAUGCAUGUACCGUACGCGCAAGUUUUGGUCCACUAAUAUGCUACCACGUCACCAUCAACAGUUCAUAAGAAUUUUAGACCAACAGGAUCAUGACACCUCAUCAGUCAAUGCCACAUCAUCGGUCAAUGCCACGUCAUCGAUCCGUCUAUGUGAACAGUGUCGUGAAUAGUAACGUAGACAGUACCGUACAUGUGAAUAGUACCGUACAUGUGAACAAUGCCAUUUUUCCUUUUAUGCUCCUCCUAAGGCUUUCGACCGUCCUGAGUUCAAAAGUGAUGUCCGUUUUGCCGUUUGAUCUCUCGUUUAUUGUGAAAUGACUAUGACGCCCCUAAAAUACACAAAAUACUUAAUUAAAAUAAAACACACAUAAUUAAAUUACAAGAACCUUAAAUACAUAAAAGUAAGGGUUGUUAGUAAGACUUGAAAUGUAAAAUGAUGAUUUUCUCCUUUAUAAAUAUACAUUUUCUAACACUCAACAAUGGUAAAAAAUACUUCAUCUCUUUUAUAGAUGAUUGCUCACGUUAUAUGUAUUUCUACUUAUUUAACAAUAAAAAUGAAACAUUAGAUGCUUUUAAGAUAUUUAAAGCAAAAGUAGAGAAACAGUGCGGAAAGCAAAUUAAGAUCGUGAGAACAUAUAGAAGUGGGGAAUAUUAUGGUAGAUACAUUGAGGAUGGGCAAGCGCCUGGUCCAUUUGCGACGUUUCUUCAACAAUAUGGGAUUAUUGCCCAAUACACUAUUCUUGGUUUUCCAGACCUGAAUGGUGUAGUAGAAAAAAGAAAUCGAACUUUACUGAACAUGGCGCGCAGUAUGCUUAGUGGCUCUAAACUUCGUAAAUCCUUAUGGACUGAAGCUCUCAAGACAGCUAUGUAUAUAUUAAACCGAGUUCCAACUAAGGCGGUUUCUAAAACGCCAUUUGAGUUAUGGAAAGGUUGGAAACCGAGUUUGCGACAUAUACGUGUUUCGGGAUGCCUGUCUGAAGUGAGAAUCUACAAUCCACAAGAAAAUAAGUUGGACCCAAGGACCAUUAGUGGGCAUUUCGUUGGAUAUGCUAAAAGGUCUAAAGGGUACAUAUUUUACUGUCCAUCUCAUAGCACUAGAAUUGUGGAAUCAAGAAAUGCAAAAUUUCUUGAAAAUGACUUGAUCAGUGGGAGCGAUCAAUCUCAGAAUAUUAUUUCUAAAAAAGAUAAUUCAGAUGCUCAACCUUCCACCUCAAGUGAUAGAUUGAUUGUUAUUUACAACACUCCUCAAGUUCAAACAGGUGUUGUGCAAUCAAUUAUUGAAGUUCCACAAGUUGCUGAUAAUAAUCCAGUAGAUCAUGCUACUCAGGAAUUACCUGAAACCCUUGAACAACCAGUUGAACAACAUGCUCCUCAGGAGAAUAUUAGUCCAACAUUAAGAAGAUAUAAUAGAAUAAAGAAACUAGCAAUUUCUAGUGAUUAUAAAGUGUAUCUGCAAGAAUCUGACUAUAAUAUUAAAGCCAAAAAUGAUCCUAAAUUUGUUUCACAAGCCAUGAAUUCCAAAGAAUCAUAUUUAUGGUAUAAUGCCAUGAAGGAAGAGAUGAAUUCUAUGUCAUCCAACGGAGUCUAGGAUCUUGUUGAGUUGCCUAAUGGUGUAAAAGCCUGUAAAUGGGUCUUUAAGACAAAGAAAGACUCAUUAGGCAAUAUUGAAAGAUAUAAAGCAAGACUCGUUGCUAAAGGAUUCACUCAGAUAGAAGGAAUCGAUUACAAGGAGACUUUUUCUCCUGUAUUGAAGAAAGAUUCUUUUCGUAUCAUUAUGGCAUUAGUUGCUAAUUUUGAUUUGGAACUGCAUCAAAUGGAUGUGAAAACAACCUUUCUUAAUGGAGAUAUGGAGGAAGAGGUUUAUAUGAAACAACCAAAAGGAUUCUCCUCUAGUGAUGGUCAGCAUUUGGUAUGCAAGCUUAAGAAAUCUAUAUAUGGGUUAAAACAAGCUUCUCGUCAGUGGUAUUUAAAAUUCCAUGAUGUUAUCUCUUCAUUUGGAUUUGUAGAGAACCUUAUGGAUCAAUGCAUAUACCAGAAGGUUAGUGUGAGUAAGAUUUGUUUCCUUAUUCUAUAUGUGGAUGAUAUUCUACUUACAUCCAAUAAUAAAGGGUUGCUUUGUGAAAUAAAACAAUUUCUCUGAUUUCAGAUGAAAAAUUGUUCACCUAGUAUAGCUCCCAUUGUGAAGGGUGACAGGUUCAAUUUGAACCAGUGCCCCAAAAAUGAUUUUGAAAUGGAACAAAUGAAAAAAUUCCAUAUGCAUGUGCUGUUAGAAGCUUGAUGUAUGCUCAAGUCUGUACAAGACCUGACAUAGCAUUUGUUGUUGGAAUCUUGGGAAAAUAUUAGAGUAAUCCAGGUUUAGACCACUGGAAAGCUGCAAAGAAAGUAAUGAGGUAUUUUCAAGGCACCAAGGAUUACAUGCUUGUGUAUAGGCGAACUAAUAAUUUGGAGGUAAUUGGCUACUCCGAUUUCAACUUUGCUGGGUGUGUUGAUUAACGAAAAUCAACAUCUGCAUAUAUUUUUAUGCUCGUCGGUGGAGAUAUAUCUUGAAGAAGUACAAAGCAGACUUUGACUGCUACUUCCACCAUGGAGGCUGAGUUUGUUUCUUGUUUUGAGGCUACCUCUCAUGGUGUAUGGUUGAAGAGUUUCAUAUAUGGGUUUAGAAUAGUGGAUUCAAUUUCAAGGCCAUUGAGGAUAUAUUGUGACAAUUCAGCUGCAGAUUUCAUGGCUAAAAAUAACAAAAGCGGAAGUCGAAGUAAACACAUCGACAUUAAAUAUUUAGCCAUAAGGGAACAUGUUAAAGAAAAGAAAGUGGUCAUUGAACACGUUAACACUGAAUUGAUGAUUGUUAAUCCUUUAACAAAGGGCAUGCCACCACAGAAGUUUAAGGAUCAUGUAGACCGAAUGAGACUUGGUUCCAUCAUGUAAUUUUCAUUGUAUAUGCAAUGUAAUAUAAAUGAGACUCUUGGUUUUCGUUUAUUGUGAUGUUUUCUCAUCUUUAUGUGCACAUUUAUUUAUAUUGAGAAAAUAUCAAUUUUAUUGGACCAAGAAUAAACAUAGGUUUAUUCAUUAAGUUAAGUUAUCAUAUGUGGUUGGAUUUAAGAAAAAUGAUGUAUUGUAAUACAUGGAAGAUAAUACUCUUUCUUAGAGGACCUAUCGCUAUUAUUCAUGUAUUAUAUUUCUUAAGUCUAAUGAAUUGAUAUCAAAUCAAGUGAAAUGUUUGGACCAACUGGGAGAAUGUUGGACACUUGGUUGUUGAAGUGUUUUUUUUUUCUAAAAGAAGUCUCUAGUAUGUGGACCAAUGUGGACCAACAUUUCAUUGACAUUAAUUCUGCCAUGUUUGGAGCUAGCUGUUAGAUGUUAUGAUAGCUAAUUAUAACUAUCAUCACUUCAUCUUUGAUGGAAAGAUGGUAAUAUAAGGAGAUGGUGAAAUGGUUUUGGUCAUUGACAGCUUGUAAUAAAAAAGAAAACAAAAACUACACCAUCAUUACUGAUUACUGAAGCUACAGAACUAUAAAAAUCGGAAAGCAAACAGUUGCAAAGGACACAUCAAUGGCUGGAGGUUAGGUUCUAAAACUUCUGCAUUUAAUUUUCAGAGCAUGUUAUAUAUUAUUAAAAAAUAUGCUUACAAAACAUGCACUUAGAUCUUAUAAUGCGGUGGCUUACAAUUUAGCCAUGCUAGCUUUUUCUUUUCCAAGAAUCCAAGAGGGUACAUUUUGAUUGAAGAUUGUCCCUGUAGAAAUUACCAACCUCUUCUAAUGUUUCUUUUUUUAAUAUAUAUAACCAAUAUUUUCUUUAAAAAAAUGAAUGUAUAGGCACAAAAUUCAACAAUGAAAGGCAUCUUCUUGAAGCCUGACGAUUUUGUCUAUACUCCUCUUCACAAGAUCUUUGUGAGUUUAUUUUCAUUUUAUCAAUUUUUUUUUAAAGUUUAUACCAUUUUUAUUUAUUUACCUUCAUUUUCUAUUAGGUUUUGACAGGAAAUGGAUCAAAGGCAUUAACAUUUCGAAUAUAGUAUCAAGUCCCUCAAUGUUACCGGCAUCUGGUCCUGUGAGUUACUGGUCUUGGAUGAUAGUAAGGCUUUUAUACAAUUUCAUUGUGUAUAGAAAGUAUAAAGAUUGGUGGCUAAGUAUAAUCAUGUACUACCAUAUGGGCUCGAAUUGGGAAUUGCAUUUGUAGCUCUGUUAACGAGUUUUGGUUUUGAAUUGAAUGGGAUUUAUGGAGUUAAUUGGUGGGGUUUGGAUGUUGGAGAUCGUUGCCCUCUUGCUCGAUGUCGUACAUUCCCUGAUGUGUUAGUAGACGACUACCCUGUUGUCGUAUGAUCACUGAUGUUUUUGUGUUAGCUUAUGAAUUGAAAGCAUCAUAUAUAUGUAUAUAAACUAUGCAACAUUUGUGGAUAUUAAAUUUAUUUUAUGCCGACAAACUACAGUUUAUGAUUGGGCGCUUACAUGAUUCGUUUUUAUAUAUAAUUUUUGUAGUUGUAGAUGUAUUAUGUUGAGCUUUCAUCAAAGGUAACAUUAAUGUUUGUUGUGAAUAGCAAUGACAACGUAGUGUGUUUUUAUCCACUAUUUGUGUAACAUACCUUUGAAAAAAAAAAUCACAAAAAAUUGUUCUCGAUUUUUUGUAUUCUCUCACUUUGUGCUUUUUCGAUUGAAACUAUAUUAUAUUCUUUGAGCUCACCAUCUUCUGCACUUCUAGAACACUCAUCAUAACCUUAAUCCAUCGAAUUUUCUUUGGUUUUCGUACCUUUCUUAAAGAAAUUAUACCUUUGACUCCAUAAUUGAGUUCUUGAUAAUCUUCAUAAAAGGAAACCAUUGCCAUAAUACAUCCUUUGGAGUUGUUAUCUUCUCCAUAACAAACACCGUGGGCACCUAGUUAUUUUAAUCGACGCCCUCCAAGUGCUCCCUUGAAUAGAAGCUCUUAAAAGCUCUCUAAAUCUCCCAUAAUAGCCUCACCUGAGAAACCUCUGUUAGGAAACGACGAGGGAAAACAAUAGAAGGUUGCCUCAAGAUACAAUACCUCAAUGCAAGAAAGACUAACGAAGGUGGUUUGAUCUCCAAGAUACAAUGGCUACUAUCACGAUGUUGCACUUCAACAUAAUAGUUUAGAACAUUAAAACUCACAACGACAAAUGCAGCGAAAGCAAUAAAGAGAAGAGUGCGUCGAUUUGAUAAUAAGAAUGAUAUAAUCGAUUCUUUAAAUAGAUACGCCCUAGCACCAUUUUCCUCUAUAAAUCCAAAUUAUAAUUAUAUAAGGAUUUAGAAUAAAUCCCAAUUCAAUAAGGAAUCAAAUUCUUAAUAUAAUUCAAAUUAAAAAUAAAUAAAUUAAAACAAAGGGCAAAAUUGUAAAAGGUAGCCAACCCUGCACACAUACACGACACCCCGCGGGGAGUCCCCUCCCCCCUAGAGCUUGAGUUAUUGGGCGCAAGCACCCAGUUAAUAGAUUCUCGAGCAGGGCUUCUUUCUUAGCCUUUGUUUCGUGCGCGUGAGGCUUCUCUUUAUAGGCUUGUUACCAUACCAUAUUUGGUUUCUAAUAUGAACCAACUUGUGCUUUCUUAUCUAUAUGGGAUAUUGGUAUUUUGAAAUACCAAUUCAAUCUCUAAUAAUCCCCCACAUAUUUCAGAAUAGCCAAUUUCAUUCAUCCUCAUCAUUGUCCAUAAAGUUUAAUGCAUGUGAACUAGUGCCUUUCGAGCUAUUAACCAGCCACUGAACAAUUAACCCUGUCUCACAAGAACUUGGUGAAACUUAUAGUUUCUAUGAACAUCUAAUGGCUCUGUGCCUUUAAAUUCAUGAGUGCUCUAGAGAUGUCUGUCUAACUCUCAUAAGAACCGACCCAAUUCCAUGCUCACAUAAGUGAACCUCCAUCAAGUAUGUCAUUUAGUUUUGACAUACCACCACACACAAUGUGUAGGAUAUGGAGUUCAUUAAUAGCUCAAUUACUCAACCUAAAUAACUGAAAUAUGCACUAUCUCACCAUAAGGAGGACUCAUAAAUAAAGAAAAUCUUUAUUGAAUGAAAUUAAGAUUACAACAUAUCCAUAAUGUUACAAGACAAUAAGUAACUUGUUUUUACCCUUAUUAACCUACUUUUUGGAGAUAUCCAAUCACAUAAGUAGGGAUACCAUCAGUUUUGUCUUUUGAUCUAGACAGUAGUCCCAUUCCUCUCGAUGUGAUCUCUACUAAACUCUUAUUUUGUGGUUUUGUUAGAGAAUCAACCAAAUUUAGCUCUGAUAUUACAAAAUCUAGGCACAUAACACCUUAUUCCAGCAGCUGCUUAACAAUACUAUGUCUUAUACGUAUGAGUAUAUUCUUCCCAUUAUAUAUUUUACUCCUAGCUCUCGCAAUAAAAGCUUGACAAUCGCAAUGAACUAGCACAACAAUAGGAGGAUGAGCAGAAAUGGAAAGAUCUGCUAAGAGAUUUCCCAGCUACUCAGCCUAAGAACAAGCUUUUUUCUAAAGCAAUUAGCUUGGACUCCAUGGUAGAACAAGCUAUACAUGUCUACUUGGACGAUUUCCAAGAUAUCGUACCUCCAUCAAGGGUAAAAAUAUAACUACUAGUGGAUUUGAGUUCAUUCGACUCGGAUAUCCAAUUUGUAUCACUAUACCCUUCAAGUGAUGGUGGAGAUCUACUAUAUUUAAGCUCGUAAUCAAUAAUGCCUCUCAAACAUCUUGCCAUUCUAGCUACUAUAGUCCAAUGAUCCUGGUUUGAACUCUAAGUAUACCUACUUAAUCUGCUUACAACAUAUGCAAUGUUUGGUCUUAUACUAUUCACCAAGUACAUUAGGCUACUAAUUAAUUCGGCAUAUCUCACUUGAUCAAUACGAUGUUCAACAUUCUUCUUUAGAUGGGAAUUACCAUUAUAUGGAGGGGGAAUUGUCUUGUAGUAAGAAUAUCCAAAUCUCCUUAACAAUUUUUCAACAUAGUAUUCUUAUGACAAUAUGAGAUCAUCUGCAGAUGGAAAUGGGAUCUGAUAACCAGUAGGCCAAAUGUUGGUGAGGUUUGGUAAAUCUGCCAGUCUCAACUAUUGAAGUUCAUUCAUAAUAAUUUCAUUAUAAUCCAUGAUGUCUGCUCUAUCUUUAUGCGAGACUACUUCUUCUAAUUCAUCACUUUUAUAUAUCGAUAGAUGAAUUAGUUUUUAAAGACUUGGAGCUAUGCUGAUAUGAAAUAGAUGCUUUAGAUUGGGGCAGCAAUAGAUAAAGAUCGUAUCGAGUUCUGGGAAACAUAUAGGUUGGAGAUGAUCUUCACUCUCAUCCUCAUCAAUGAUUUGCUCUAAUUCCAAGUAAUUCGAAAUAAGCAACUUCUCCAAUUGCAACAGAUUUCAAGAAAGUGUUGAUGAAAGGAAACAUCUUAGCUUAGUGCACCUGUUCAUGAUUAAAAGGGUCAAAUUUUGCAAGCUAAAAAUUUGCAUGAGAACUUCAUGAUAUAAUACUUGCAGUUCUCAAAGAUUUUCUAAUUCCAAUGUAUUCAAACAUGGGAAUAGUUCGUUUUCUUAUCCAUCAACGAUAAUAGCUUCUACUUGAAAUACUACUUGUACUCCAAGUUCUCGAAUAUACAAUGUUUCCAAAUUUUUCAAGCCAUGUUUCAAUAGUGUGGGAAUUGUGUCAUGCAAAUGGGAACAAUCUCGCACAUAUAGACUUUAUAAUUUCUAAGACAAAUAAAUACCUUGAUGUGAUAAAAAAGUAUUAGCAAUUUGGAUUAUCACAUGAUAAAAUGUUGCCGAGCAAGCAACAAGCCAUAGGCUGCCUACAGGCUACAGCGUUGAUAGCCCUGUCCCUCAAGAUGAUGUCAAUUAUGUUUAAGUUUCAAGUUCUGUAUAUAUGUAUAUUGAAUGUGCUGCUAGGCUAGCUAGCUUCUAAUUUCUUUUCUUCUCUAUAAUAUAUAUGUUGUAUCAGUGUGUUUGCUUAAGUGCUUGUGCCCAUGUUAGGACUUGGGAGGGAUUACACUAUCUAUAAACUUUGUGUGUUUUCUUCAUUUAUAUUUUUCAAGAUAUUAUCAUUUUAUCACCACUAGAAUUAUCUGACAUAUCAUGUCAGUACCAUGAUUUGUUGAAAAGUGCAUUUUACCAUCAAACAUUUACGCCGUUAUCAAUUUACCAACCUUCCAUUUAGGGAUGGCAAUGGGGAGGGGAGGGGAGGGGACCAAUAUCCCCGUACCCAUCCCCGAUAUUUUGCGUAUGUCCCCGUCCCCUCCCCGUCCCCGUCAGAAUUACUUGAGAGAAUCUACAUCCCCUCCCCGAAUAAUAACAGGGGAUCCCCGAGGGUCCCCGAUCCCCGAAUAACUAAUAUAUUUUUUGUUGUUUUCGAUUUUGAGUUAAUCAGCUUAAAAUAAAAAAUUCAAAUAAAAGUAAAGUUUGAAAUAUAUCUUACAUUAAUAUUCAUUACAAAAGUCAGAUACAUUAAAUUAGUAAGUAACGCAGCAUGCAAGGGAUACAAACUUCUUUUACAAACUAUCAUGAACAAAUUAAUAGUCUAAUACAAAAUUGUUACAAGUAAAAUCGAAUUUAGAUUCAAAAUUAACUUUUUCAAUGGUGGCGUGGGCACUUUAUAAAUGUGGACUAUUCCCUUUACAACACAAUAGUUAAAUCGGAGCAAAUCAAGAGCAAAUAUUAGAUUAGAUUAAAUUAGAUAUUAAAAUUGUGAUUCGCUGUGGGCAAUUAUAACAUCUAAAAAUAAAUAAAAAAUAGAUUUAAGUUUAAAAUAUUUAAAGAAUAUUAAAAUUAAAAAAAAUUUGGGCUAAUAGAAUCUAUUCGGUCUUUUUAAUGUCCUAAAUAAAAAUUUAGGACUUUAAUUAGUUAAUUAGGCCUAAAAGUUUAAUAAUAUAAAUAUUUUGAUACUUUUUUUUACCAAUAUUUAUAAUUUUAUAAUUUAAAUUUUAUUAUUUAUUUACUAGUAAUUUUAAAAAAUUAAAAUGGGGAAAUGGGUAGGGGAUGGGGAUUCCACCUCAUCCCCGUCCCCUCCCCGAAUAAGAAAUUGGAUAAAAAAAUUCCCCCGUCUCUUCCCCAAAUAAGAAAUUGGGUAUGAAAUUAUCCCCAUACCCUCUCCGAAUGGGAAAAAUCCCCGAGGGUACCCGUCUCCGUGGGGAUUUUUGCCAUCCCUACUUCCAUUAAAAAAACAUUAAUCUUUAAUUGAAAAUGAGUUAAAAGUCGAUUUCAUCCCUAGAGAAUAAAAGACAAUUUUACUCUUUGAAAAGAAAGAAAUAAUGAACAAAAAUAAGAUGUACAAAACAACUAAAAAUUGUAAUUAAUAAAAAAAAGAACAAUAUGCAAAAUUACGACAAACGACAAAGAAAACAAUUAAUAAAAAAUUCUGCUUCAAAAUUAAUAUUACAAUCUAUGAAAUUCAAGUAUUAAUCACAACUAAAAAUAAUAACAAUUUAAUUAAGGAAAAAAUUUAAUAAGAGAGAGGGUUAUCAAUUUCCUAAUUCUUUAAUUCUUUCCCUUGAAAUUUUUUACUUUGUUUUAUUGUUUAUUUUACAUUUGCAUCGCAAUGUUUUGCCUUUAACAAGAAAUGUCUUUUAUUUUACAUCAGCACAAUAUUAGCAAAAAUUUAACGUUUUUAACAAAAGGAUGAUAUAUUGAUAACGGCGCAAACAUUUGGUGGUAAAUGUAUUUUUCAACAAACUAUGGUACUGACAUAAUAUAUCAGAAUAAUUUUGGUAGUAAAAUAAUAAUAUCUCAUAUUUUUCUUCUCCUUCUUCUUCUUCUACACUAUUGAAUGACUUCAACUCAAAGGGUAAUGAUGAAUUAAUAUGUGCAUAUCUAUAUAUAUAUAUAUAUAUAUAUAUAUAUAUAUAAAGUUGGGACUUGAAAAGGUGAUGUGACAUCACCAUUUCUCAUCUUUGUAUAUUCUCUAUUAUCUAAUAAAUAGAGAAAUUUUCUUUUAGAUUUGGUUUUUCAUCUUUUCAUAAUUAAUUUGAUUGUUAUUACACAAUAACAAUUAUAUAAAGAUUUUAAUGAGGCAUAUUCUUUGUAAUGAACAUCCAAGGGAGAGUGUUAUGAAUUUUUUAAAAUAAAUAUAGAUGUUCAUAACAUAUAUCUCUUAGUCUCCCUACUAUCUCUCAUUAGCAACCUUUAGCUUCCCUAUAACUCCCACUAUCUCACAAGGAAUUAUGAUCUAUAAUUUUUCAUUAAUUGCAUAGAGUGAUUAUGUAACUAUAAAAGGAGAGCUCAUUUUUUUUGUUUUGUACACACACAAUUGGAAUGAAUAAAAUCACUCUAUAAUAUAUUAUCUCAGUUUAUUCUUUAUCUUGCGUUGCUUCUUUAUUUGUAUUACUGGUUAAUAACUUUUUUUAUUUUUUAUAAGGCUGCCUCAUCUUAAAAAAAAAUCAAUUUAUAGUUUUUAUCAAUUUCAUCAAGUGUAAAGUAAGAAAAAAGGAUAAUACUAAAUUCUUUUUUCAAAGCCGCGUGAAGCGCGGUUCUAUUUUCUAGUUAAUUAAUAGGUAAGAACCAAUCUCACCUUUAUUUUAAGCACACUUGCAUAGUCUUGAGAAGAAGUAUUUGUUUGGUUGGACAACAAGAUACGUGAAUUUAAUUAAUUAAAUAAUUUUAAUAAAUAAAAUUAUUGUUACAAUCUAACUUACCGAAGGCGUCCUAAAUGCACUUGCCUGCAGAUUUUUAACUAAAAUCUAAACGAAGUAAAGGCUACUAAAAUAAGCAAUCAGAAAAGUAAAAGGGUAAAGCUUCCUCCACUUUUUUAAGCUCUUUACAACUCCCAAUUUUUGUUUUUGUAUAUUUUUAAUGAAAUUACAAAUAAAGAUAUAAAAUUACAAUAGAAUUUUAAUUAAAUUUUGCUAUCAUUUAGAAUAAAUUUUGUAAACGUACUUUUUCAUAAUAAAAUUAUCGUUAAUAGAUAUUUUUUUUCAUUGUUUAAAAAUUAUUUUGUUUUAUCGAUAAAUAAUUAUAUCAUAUACUAAGAUUGAAAAAUAGUUAGGCUCCUUGGGUUGUGAAGACGUGUCAGUUUAAUUAAAUUCAUAUUUAUCCUCUAUAUAAUUUUCAGUAACAAUAAAAUUAUAUUAUGAUUACAAAAGUAAAGUGAUAAGGAUUAUAAAGAAGUGUGAAAAGCGCAUUACUCAAAAUAAAAUUCCGGGGCUCGCAAAAGCCCAGGCCUGGCCAUUAGGGAAUAACCAGGCCCGGGCUUAACCACACGUGUGGACCAUUUGCUAUUCCUACUAGAAUCGGAACCCGUAUGGAAAAACAUACAAAUAGAAGUCAAAACUUGUAAUUUUGUUAAACAUUAGGGAAUAAAUUAAUAUUUCUUUAAUCAAAGAAAAGUUGCCGUACGAGUCGAACUUGUUAGUCGACUUAUCAAAUUGCACUGUCUUUCUUGUUCUUCAUGUUCGACUUCAGCGCAGACCCACAAGAAGGAAACGCAUAACAAAGCAUCAUAUGGCGCCGCCUCCUGGUUCGUACUCCGGCACCAGCUUCCGCUGGUAAUUCCAUUUUUAUCUUCUUUUAAUCCAAAUGUGUAAUUUUUUUUUCUAAUCAAUAUUUUCUUUGUUUUGUUUUAUAUACGAUGGAAUUUUUAUGAAUUGUUAUUGAAAGAUCAUUUAUUUUGUAGUCUGGGCUUUUGAAUAAUAAUAGUCGGUUGCCCUGGUUUAUAGAAACACUAACCUCAAGUACCUCAAUGUUCAAUCUUUCUUUGCUUCAACAUUUGUUCUUAAUUUAUGUUUGUUAAAAUUUGAUUAGAAUUUAUAGUGCUUUAUUUUAAUUAUUUUUUGUUUUCACCAAAUGGGGCUCACCGUUUCAUGGUGCUGCCCAAACUCACAUCAUCAACGAAAGGUUAUUCUAGAAUUAGUUUAUAACAUCUGGGAAUUAAUUUUUUUUUUUUUUUUGUUCUCGAAAAUGCGGGAUACUGAGUCUCUUUUAGAGAACAUGUUUUGGUGCAGUUUAUAAAAUCAUUUGUAAUUUUGUGUAAAAUUUGAAAUUAAUAAACAUAGUUUUCCUGUACUUGUAAGUUUUAGAUCCUUACUUAAAGUUACUCCAUGCAUUAUUAGUUAGUAGAUUUGAGGGUUUAACGGGAUUGAUGAUUUAGACUUGUCUUGUUAUUGGGAAAAGUUCAGUGGAUGAGGAAAAUGGGAAUUCAAUAGGUAAAAUUAUGGCAGGUGUGGGGAGAUGUGAAGUCAAGAGGAAGAAUUAUAAAGGGACCGAAAUUUCCAGUUCAUAAUUGUUAUUGAGCUUUAUAGGUGUUAGUUUUAUAUUAUUCUUGGCGUGUUUCUGCCUAUAAGUAUAUUUAUUUUUCCUGCGUAGGUACAGCAAAUAGAUGACCGUUUUCCUUUGAAAAUGCUUUUCUAAUACCUUUUUUUUUUUUUUAACCUUAGUCAAAGGGAAAGUCUCUCUAGAUAUUUUCAAUUUUUUAAUUUUGGUCCAAAAGUAAUUCCUCUACUUAUUUAAUGUAGAACCAAAAACUGUCAAAGACAAUGAAGGAAUUUUUUGGGAUUUGGACAACAAACCCCCAAAUUCAGUCCCCCCAUUUGAGACGGCCAUUAAACUGAAAAAAAUCAAUAUCUUCAUUUGGGGUUCUUAAAUACAUGGUAGCAUAUACUAAUAGCCAUGCAUUUAAUUAUGUGCCUCAAGUUGUAAGGGAGCAAAGAGAAGAUAAAAAAUUGUUUGACCAAUUGGAAAACAAGGGUGCAAUCAGGCCUGCUGAGCCGUAUGUAUGUGGUGUUUGUGGAAGGAGAUUUUAUAAUCAUGACAAACUUGUUAAUCAUUUUAUGC